AAUUGGAUCAUUUUCAGAAAUUAUCUAUAGAGUAUAGUAUACAUAUAAACUCAUGUAGAAAUACACACUAUAUGUCACUAGAGAGUGAAGUCCACCAGCAUGUCAUCAACACUAAGUAGUGGGCCUUUCUAUUUGCUAAGCGUGCUCCUGGCUGCCCACAUUCUGACGAAUGUCUCGAGCCUCGAAUCCAUGAGAACAUAACGGAUCCAUACAGCGCAAUAUGCCUCCAUUUUUUUUCAAGAGUACGCCAAAAGCGUACCUUAGCUUUAUAGAAGAGUGAAAAUAUUUACAAAAGCAUUACAAACUGCAGGCGUCGCACGUGGCACGCCUACCCUCCCCUACUCCGAACCACCUAGCUGACUACUCACUACCCGUUUGCACUCCUCUCCCUCUGGCGAUCUCCCAAAGAUGUCGCUCUCUAAGAAUGAUCGGAACCGUGCCUUGUUCGUGAAGGAAAUAUGCCCUAGAGGCAAUAAUAAAGUUAUUAUUUAUUUCCUUAUAAUCAUGAUAAAUGUUUAUUAUUCAUGCUAGAAUUGUAUUUACCGGAAACAUAAUACAUGUGUGAAUACAUAGACAAACAGAGUGUCACUAGUAUGCCUCUACUUGACUAGCUCGUUAAUCAAAGAUGGUUAUGUUUCCUAACCAUGAACAAUGAGUUGUUAUUUGAUUAACGAGGUCACAUCAUUAGUAGAAUGAUCUGAUUGACAUGACCCAUUCCAUUAGCUUAGCACCCGAUCGUUUAGUAUGUUGCUAUUGCUUUCUUCAUGACUUAUACAUGUUCCUAUGACUAUGAGAUUAUGCAACUCCCGUUUACCGGAGGAACACUUUGGGUACUACCAAACGUCACAACGUAACUGGGUGAUUAUAAAGGAGUACUACAGGUGUCUCCAAUGGUCGAUGUUGGGUUGGCGUAUUUCGAGAUUAGGAUUUGUCACUCCGAUUGUUGGAGAGGUAUCUCUGGGCCCUCUCGGUAAUACACAUCAUAUAAGCCUUGCAAGCAUUACAACUAAUAUGUUAGUUGUGAGAUGAUGUAUUACGGAACGAGUAAAGAGACUUGCCGGUAACGAGAUUGAACUAGGUAUUGGAUACCGACGAUCGAAUCUCGGGCAAGUAACAUACCGAUGACAAAGGGAACAACGUAUGUUGUUAUGCGGUCUGACCGAUAAAGAUCUUCGUAGAAUAUGUAGGAGCCAAUAUGGGCAUCCAGGUCCCGCUAUUGGUUAUUGACCAGAGACGUGUCUCGGUCAUGUCUACAUUGUUCUCGAACCCGUAGGGUCCGCACGCUUAAGGUUACGAUGACAGUUAUAUUAUGAGUUUAUGCAUUUUGAUGUACCGAAGGUUGUUCGGAGUCCCGGAUGUGAUCACGGACAUGACGAGGAGUCUCGAAAUGGUCGAGACAUAAAGAUUGAUAUAUUGGAAGUCUAUGUUUGGACAUUGGAAGUGUUCCGGGUGAAAUCGGGAUUUUACCGGGUUACCGGGAGGUUACCGGAACCCCCCGGGAGCCAUAUGGGCCAUCAUGGGCCUUAGUGGAAAGGAGAAAGGGGCAGCCCAAGGGGGCUGCGCGCCUCCCCCCUUCCCCUAGUCCUAUUAGGACUAGGAGAGGUGGCCGGCCACCCCUCUCCCUCUUUCCCCCUUGGGAAUCCUAGUUGGAAUAGGAUUGGGGGGGGAGUCCUACUCCCGGUAGGAGUAGGACUCCUCCUGCGCCUCUCCCUCUUGGCCGGCGCACCCUCCCCCCUUGGCUCCUUUAUAUACGGAGGCAGGGGCACCUCUAAACACACAAGUUGACACAAGUUGAUCCACGUGAUCGAUUCCUUAGCCGUGUGCGGUGCCCCCUGCCACCAUAUUCCUCGAUAAUACUGUAGCGGAGUUUAGGCGAAGCCCUGCUGCUGUAGUUCAUCAAGAUCAUCACCACGCCGUCGUGCUGACGGAACUCUUCCCCGACACUUUGCUGGAUCGGAGUCCGGGGAUCGUCAUCGAGCUGAACGUGUGCUCGAACUCGGACGUGCCGUAGUUUCGGUGCUUGAUCGGUUGGAUCGUGAAGACGUACGACUACUUCCUCUACGUCGUGUCAUCGCUUCCGCAGUUGGUCUGCGUAGGGUACGUAGGCAAUACUCUUCCCUUCGUUGCUAUGCAUCACAUGAUCUUGCGUGUGCGUAGGAAAUUUUUUGAAAUUACUACGAAACCCAACAGUGGCAUCCGAGCCUAGGUUAAUGAUGUUGAUGUUAUAUGCACGAGUAGAACACAAGUAAGUUGUGGAUGAUACAAGUCAUACUGCCUACCAGCAUGUCAUACUUUGGUUCGGCGGUAUUGUUGGACGAGACGACCCGGACCGACCUUACGCGUACGCUUACGCGAGACCGGUUCCCUCGACGUGCUUUGCACAGAGAUGGCUUGCGGGCGACUGCCUCUCCAACUUUAGUUGAACCAAGUAUGGCUACGCCCGGUCCUUGCGAAGGUUAAAACAGAGUCUAUUUGACAAACUAUCGUUGUGGUUUUGAUGCGUAGGUGAGAUUGGUUCUUACUUAAGCCCGUAGCAGCCACGUAAAACAUGCAACAACAAAGUAGAGGACGUCUAACUUGUUUUUGCAGGGCAUGUUGUGAUGUGAUAUGGUCAAGGCAUGAUGCUGAAUUUUAUUGUAUGAAAUGAUCAUGUUUUGUAACCAAGUUAUCGGCAACUGGCAGGAGCCAUAUGGUUGUCGCUUUAUUGUAUGCAAUGCAAUCGCGAUGUAAUGCUUUACUUUAUUACUAAAUGGUAGUGAUAGUCGUGGAAGCAUAAGAUUGGCGAGAUGACAACGAUGCUACGAUGGAGAUCAAGGUGUCGCGCCGGUGACGAUGGUGAUCAUGACGGUGCUUCAGAGAUGGAGAUCACAAGCACAAGAUGAUGAUGGCCAUAUCAUAUCACUUAUAUUGAUUGCAUGUGAUGUUUAUAUUUUUAUGCAUCUUAUCUUGCUUUGAUUGACGGUAGCAUUAUAAGAUGAUCUCUCACUAAAUUAUCAAGAAGUGUUCUCCCUGAGUAUGCACCGUUGCCAAAGUUCGUCGUGCCCAGACACCACGUGAUGAUCGGGUGUGAUAAGCUCUACGUCCAUCUACAACGGGUGCAAGCCAGUUUUGCACACGCAGAAUACUCAGGUUAAACUUGACGAGCCUAGCAUAUGCAGAUAUGGCCUCGAAACACGGAGACCGAAAGGUCGAGCGUGAAUCAUAUAGUAGAUAUGAUCAACAUAACGAUGUUCACCAUUGAAAACUACUCCAUCUCACGUGAUGAUCGGUUAUGGUUUAGUUGAUUUGGAUCACGUGAUCACUUAGAGGAUUAGAGGGAUGUCUAUCUAAGUGGGAGUUCUUUAGUAAUAUGAUUAAUUGAACUUAAAAUUUAUCAUGAACUUAGUCCCUGAUAGUAUCUUGCUUGUUUAUGUUGAUUGUAGAUAGAUGGCUCGUGCUGUUGUUCCGUUAAAUUUUAAUGCGUUCCUUGAGAAAGCAAAGUUGAAAGAUGAUGGUAGCAAUUACACGGACUGGGUCCGUAACUUGAGGAUUAUCCUCAUUGCUGCACAGAAGAAUUACGUCCUGGAAGCACCGCUGGGUGCCAGGCCUGCUGCUGGAGCAACGCCAGAUGUUAUGAACGUCUGGCAGAGCAAAGCUGAUGACUACUCAAUAGUUCAGUGUGCCAUGCAUUACGGCUUAGAAUCGGGACUUCAACGACGUUUUGAACGUCAUGGAGCAUAUGAGAUGUUCCAGGAGUUGAAGUUAAUAUUUCAAGCAAAUGCCCGGAUUGAGAGAUAUGAAGUCUCCAAUAAGUUCUAUAGCUGCAAGAUGGAGGAGAACAGUUCUGUCAGUGAGCAUAUACUCAAAAUGUCUGGGUAUAAUAAUCACUUGAUUCAAUUGGGAGUUAAUCUUCCGGAUGAUUGCGUCAUCGACAGAAUUCUCCAAUCACUGCCACCAAGCUACAAGAGCUUCGUGAUGAACUAUAAUAUGCAAGGGAUGAACAAGACUAUUCCCGAGCUCUUCGCAAUGCUGAAAGCUGCGGAGGUAGAAAUCAAAAAGGAGCAUCAAGUGUUGAUGGUUAACAAAACCACUAGUUUCAAGAAAAAGGGCAAAGGAAAGAAAAAAGGGAACUUCAAGAAGAACAGCAAGCAAGUUGCUGCUCAAGAUAAGAAACCCAAGUCUGGACCUAAGCCUGAAACUGAGUGCUUCUACUGCAAGCAGACUGGUCACUGGAAGCGGAACUGCCCCAAGUAUUUGGCGGAUAAGAAGGAUGGCAAGGUGAACAAAGGUAUAUAUGAUAUGCAUGUUAUUGAUGUGUACCUUACUAGAGCUUGCAGUAGCACCUGGGUAUUUGAUACUGGUUCUGUUGCUAAUAUUUCCAACUCGAAACAGGGACUACAGAAUAAGCGGGCACUGGCAAAGGACGAGGUGACGAUGCGCGUGGGAAACGGUUCCAAAGUCGAUGUGAUCGCGGUCGGCACGCUACCUCUACAUCUACCUUCGGGAUUAAUAUUAGACCUAAAUAAUUGUUAUUUGGUGCCAGCGUUGAGCAUGAACAUUAUAUCUGGAUCUUGUUUAAUGCGAGACGGUUAUUCAUUUAAAUCAGAGAAUAAUGGUUGUUCUAUUUAUAUGAGUAAUAUCUUUUAUGGUCAUGCACCCUUGAAGAGUGGUCUAUUCUUACUGAAUCUCGAUAGUAGUAAUACACAUAUUCAUAAUGUUGAAACCAAAAGAUGCAGAGUUGAUAAUGAAAGUGCAACUUAUUUGUGGCACUGUCGUUUAGGUCAUAUCGGUGUAAAACGCAUGAAGAAACUCCAUACUAAUGGACUUUUGGAACCACUUGAUUAUGAAUCACUUGGUACUUGCGAACCGUGCCUCAUGGGCAAGAUGACUAAAACACCGUUCUCCGGUACUAUGGAGAGAGCAACAGAUUUGUUGGAAAUCAUACAUACCGAUGUAUGUGGUCCGAUGAAUAUUGAGGCUCGUGGCGGAUAUCGUUAUUUUCUCACCUUCACAAGAUGAUUUGAGCAGAUAUGGAUAUAUCUACUUAAUGAAGCAUAAGUCUGAAACAUUUGAAAAGUUCAAAGAAUUUCAGAGUGAAGUUGAAAAUCAUCGUAACAAGAAAAUAAAGUUUCUACGAUCUGAUCGUGGAGGAGAAUAUUUGAGUUACGAGUUUGGUGUACAUUUGAAAAACUAUGGAAUAGUUUCACAACUCACGCCACCCGGAACACCACAGCGCAAUGGUGUGUCCGAACGUCGUAAUCGUACUUUACUAGAUAUGGUGCGAUCUAUGAUGUCUCUUACAGAUUUACCGCUAUCAUUUUGGGGUUAUGCUUUAGAGACGGCCGCAUUCACGUUAAAUAGGGCACCAUCAAAAUCCGUUGAGACGACACCUUAUGAACUAUGGUUUGGCAAGAAACCAAAGUUGUCGUUUCUUAAAGUUUGGGGCUGCGAUGCUUAUGUGAAAAAGCUUCAACCUGAUAAGCUCGAACCCAAAUCAGAGAAAUGUGUAUUCAUAGGAUACCCAAAGGAAACUGUUGGGUACACUUUCUAUCACAGAUCCGAAGGCAAAACAUUCGUUGCUAAGAAUGGAUCAUUUCUAGAGAAGGAGUUUCUCUCGAAAGAAGUGAGUGGGAGGAAAGUAGAACUUGACGAGGUAACUGUACCUGCUCCCUUACUGGAGAGUAGUUCAUCACAGAAAACUGUUUCAGUGACACCUACACCGGUUAGUGAGGAAGCCAAUGAUAAUGAUCAUGAAACUUCAGAUCAAGAUACUACUGAACCACGUAGAUCAACCAGAGUAAGAUCCGCGCCAGAGUGGUACGGAAAUCCUGUUCUGGAAGUCAUGCUACUAGAUCAUGAUGAACCUACGAACUAUGAAGAAGCGAUGGUGAGCCCAGAUUCCGCAAAGUGGCUUGAAGCCAUGAAAUCUGAGAUGGGAUCCAUGUAUGAGAACAAAGUAUGGACUUUGGUUGACUUGCCCGAUGAUCGGCAAGCAAUUGAGAAUAAAUGGAUCUUUAAGAAGAAGACUGACGCUGAUGGUAAUGUUACUGUCUACAAAGCUCGACUUGUCGCAAAAGGUUUUCGACAAGUUCAAGGGAUUGACUAUGAUGAGACAUUCUCACCCGUAGCGAUGCUUAAGUCCGUCCGAAUCAUGUUAGCAAUUGCCGCAUUUUAUGAUUAUGAAAUUUGGCAGAUGGAUGUCAAAACUGCAUUCCUGAAUGGAUUUCUGGAAGAAGAGUUGUAUAUGAUGCAACCAGAAGGUUUUUGUCGAUCCAAAGGGAGCUAACAAAAUGUGCAAGCUCCAGCGAUCCAUUUAUGGACUGGUGCAAGCCUCUCGGAGUUGGAAUAAACGUUUUGAUAGUGUGAUCAAAGCAUUUGGUUUUAUACAGACUUUCGGAGAAGCCUGUAUUUACAAGAAAGUGAGUGGGAGCUCUGUAGCAUUUCUGAUAUUAUAUGUGGAUGACAUAUUACUGAUUGGGAAUGAUAUAGAAUUUCUGGAUAGCAUAAAGGAAUACUUGAAUAAAAGUUUUUCAAUGAAAGACCUCGGUGAAGCUGCUUACAUAUUAGGCAUUAAGAUCUAUAGAGAUAGAUCAAGACGCUUAAUUGGACUUUCACAAAGCACAUACCUUGACAAAAUUUUGAAGAAAUUCAAAAUGGAUCAAGCGAAGAAAGGGUUCUUGCCUGUGUUACAAGGUGUGAAAUUGAGUAAGACUCAAUGCCCGACCACUGCAGAAGAUAGAGAGAAUAUGAAAGAUGUUCCCUAUGCAUCUGCCAUAGGCUCUAUCAUGUAUGCAAUGCUGUGUACCAGACCUGAUGUGUGCCUUGCUAUAAGUUUAGCAGGGAGGUACCAAAGUAAUCCAGGAGUGGAUCACUGGACAGCGGUCAAGAACAUCCUGAAAUACCUGAAAAGGACUAAGGAUAUGUUUCUCGUAUAUGGAGGUGACAAAGAGCUCACCGUAAAAGGUUACGUUGAUGCAAGCUUUGACACUGAUCCGGACGAUUCUAAAUCGCAAACCGGAUACGUGUUUACAUUAAACGGUGGAGCUGUCAGUUGGUGCAGUUCUAAACAAAGCGUUGUAGCGGGAUCUACAUGUGAAGCGGAAUACAUAGCUGCUUCGGAAGCAGCAAAUGAAGGAGUUUGGAUGAAGGAGUUCAUAUUCGAUCUAGGUGUCAUACCUAGUGCAUCGGGUCCAAUGAAAAUCUUUUGUGACAAUACUGGUGCAAUUGCCUUAGCAAAGGAAUCCAGAUUUCACAAAAGGACCAAACACAUCAAGAGACGCUUCAACUCCAUCCGGGAUCUAGUCCAGGUGGGAGACAUAGAGAUUUGCAAGAUACAUACGGAUCUGAAUGUUGCAGACCCGUUGACUAAGCCUCUUCCACGAGCAAAACAUGAUCAGCACCAAGGCUCCAUGGGUGUUAGAAUCAUUACAGUGUAAUCUAGAUUAUUGACUCUAGUGCAAGUGGGAGACUGAAGGAAAUAUGCCCUAGAGGCAAUAAUAAAGUUAUUAUUUAUUUCCUUAUAAUCAUGAUAAAUGUUUAUUAUUCAUGCUAGAAUUGUAUUUACCGGAAACAUAAUACAUGUGUGAAUACAUAGACAAACAAAGUGUCACUAGUAUGCAUCUACUUGACUAGCUCGUUAAUCAAAGAUGGUUAUGUUUCCUAACCAUGAACAAUGAGUUGUUAUUUGAUUAACGAGGUCACAUCAUUAGUAGAAUGAUCUGAUUGACAUGACCCAUUCCAUUAGCUUAGCACCCGAUCGUUUAGUGUGUUGCUAUUGCUUUCUUCAUGACUUAUACAUGUUCCUAUGACUAUGAGAUUAUGCAACUCCCGUUUACCGGAGGAACACUUUGGGUACUACCAAACGUCACAACGUAACUGGGUGAUUAUAAAGGAGUACUACAGGUGUCUCCAAUGGUCGAUGUUGGGUUGGCGUAUUUCGAGAUUAGGAUUUGUCACUCCGAUUGUCGGAGAGGUAUCUCUGGGCCCUCUCGGUAAUACACAUCACAUAAGCCUUGCAAGCAUUACAACUAAUAUGUUAGUUGUGAGAUGAUGUAUUACGGAACGAGUAAAGAGACUUGCCGGUAACGAGAUUGAACUAGGUAUUGGAUACCGACGAUCGAAUCUCGGGCAAGUAACACACCGAUGACAAAGGGAACAACGUAUGUUGUUAUGCGGUCUGACCGAUAAAGAUCUUCGUAGAAUAUGUAGGAGCCAAUAUGGGCAUCCAGGUCCCGCUAUUGGUUAUUGACCGGAGACGUGUCUCGGUCAUGUCUACAUUGUUCUCGAACCCGUAGGGUCCGCACGCUUAAGGUUACGAUGACAGUUAUAUUAUGAGUUUAUGCAUUUUGAUGUACCGAAGGUUGUUCGGAGUCCCGGAUGUGAUCACGGACAUGACGAGGAGUCUUGAAAUGGUCGAGACAUAAAGAUUGAUAUAUUGGAAGUCUAUGUUUGGACAUCGGAAGUGUUCCGGGUGAAAUCGGGAUUUUACCGGGUUACCGGGAGGUUACCGGAACCCCCCGGGAGCCAUAUGGGCCAUCAUGGGCCUUAGUGGAAAGGAGAAAGGGGCAGCCCAAGGGGGCUGCGCGCCUCCCCCCUUCCCCUAGUCCUAUUAGGACUAGGAGAGGUGGCCGGCCACCCCUCUCCCUCUUUCCCCCUUGGGAAUCCUAGUUGGAAUAGGAUUGGGGGGGGGGAGUCCUACUCCCGGUAGGAGUAGGACUCCUCCUGCGCCUCUCCCUCUUGGCCGGCGCACCCUCCCCCCUUGGCUCCUUUAUAUACGGAGGCAGGGGCACCUCUAAACACACAUGUUGACACAAGUUGAUCCACGUGAUCGAUUCCUUAGCCGUGUGCGGUGCCCCCUGCCACCAUAUUCCUCGAUAAUACUGUAGCGGAGUUUAGGCGAAGCCCUGCUGCUGUAGUUCAUCAAGAUCAUCACCACGCCGUCGUGCUGACGGAACUCUUCCCCGACACUUUGCUGGAUCGGAGUCCGGGGAUCGUCAUCGAGCUGAACGUGUGCUCGAACUCGGAGGUGCCGUAGUUUCGGUGCUUGAUCGGUUGGAUCGUGAAGACGUACGACUACUUCCUCUACAUCGUGUCAUCGCUUCCGCAGUCGGUCUGCGUAGGGUACGUAGGCAAUACUCUUCCCUUCGUUGCUAUGCAUCACAUGAUCUUGCGUGUGCGUAGGAAAAAUUUUGAAAUUACUACGAAACCCAACAGUUCGUUACACGUAUCGUUCCUGCCAAAGGCUCUCCCGUUUCUCUGCUUCCAAAUACACCAACACACCAACAUGACUAGCGAGUCAAAAUCCUUGCGAUGCGCCUUCUCCACCCGCUUCCUUGAUCUGACCCACCAAUCCUGCAAGGAGUCCUGUCCUGUUGGCUGCAUCGAUAAGUUCAUCCCAAAUACCAGGAAGCACUGGUGCCAAACCUGCUUGGCAAACACGCAUUGCAUCAACAUGUGUUCAACCGUGUCCUCCUCUUGCUCACACAGAUAGCAAGGCGCAUGCCGAUCUGACGUCCAGAGUCUAUGCAAGAUGGCUAACCAGAUGAAGAUUUUGCAACCCAAAGGUGCCCAGCACUUCCAGAUUGCUGCUGCCGCCUGAAAUUUGAUUCCUCCUUCACACAUCAUCUUGUAAGCCGAGGCUGCCGAGUACUUCCCAGUGGAGUUCCAAGCCCAGACUGGCCUGUCUUCCUCCUCUUGCUGCAAGUGGACCUCGAUCAGCAUGUCCCGGAGCUUGAUGAAUUGAGCCAGGCCAUCCGUGUCCAGCUCGCCUAUAAUGUCAUUCGUCCAGGCAUGCAUGUACAUCCCCUCACACACUAAUCUCCUGUUUGCCACUUGUGUCCUGACCUUCGCGCCCGAGCAAGGGUGCAAUCUCUUUAACCGUGCAUCCACCGAUCCACCUGUCUUUCCAGAACAAGAUUUUCGAUCCAUCUCCAAUGGACCAACUCACCAGGCUCAUGAAUGCCUCUUGCAUCUGCUUGUCAAUCAUCGCACUCAACCCCUGCCAAGGUCUUGAAUCGUCUGUUCGUUUAAGCCAUUCCCGUCUCAAUCUGAGUGUGAUGCCCUGCUUGUGCGGAUCGAUCACUCCCAAUCCGCCUAGCUGUUUAGGUCUUCACACCUCUGCCAUGCCACCACGCACUUCCCUCCGUGUAUCUCCUCCGAGCCAGCCCAGAAAAAAGCUCGGCAUCCUUUGUUCACCCUCUCCAGUGGCCUCCAUUUAUUUCAGGUGUACAUAAACAUGUAUGCAUCCACUGAUGCCAAAGGAAAGAAAGUUUCAUAGAUGGCUUGACUCAGAAGUAACAAAUCAUUUCUCUCUCAAGCUCUCGAUGGUCUCCUUGAGGCUUGUCUCCAGGGGAAUCAGCUCCAUACCCAGACUUCUUAUCUUGUCCUUCGAUACCUGGUAGAUAGGGACAAAUGGUGCGUCAUCUGCACACCUGCACAAAAAAUGGAAAAUAAUGAGUCCACAAAGCCUCAACAAGAAAUGGUGCAAAUGAACAGCUUAAGCGCUCUACAGUGUCCGUGAAGCCUCAACGAGAAAUGAGUAACUAAUAUCUGUUCGGCCUCUGUUUGGUUGCAAGAAUAACUAAUAUUUUGAUUUCUUACUCCUUGCAAAGUUGCAACUGCAAAGUUCAGCCUCUGUUCGGUUGCAAGAAUAAGUUGCAAGUGCAAAGUUCAGCCUCUGUUCGGUUGCAAGAAUUCAAUUGAUCGAUGAAAUUGAAGUUCAGCCUCCAAUUCAAUUUAGCUCUGAAAUGGGAACGUGCUAUGAUUCCAAUUUUCUUUGUUUGUUGCUAGCACAAAUGACCGUGCAUUGCAACGGAAAGAUAAUUGACACGUACAUGAAAACAUCUAUGAGCACAACGCAACAAUAACUAAACGGUGUCAUCCGGCGGCGGCAGGGAAGUGCAUGCCGGAAGCUAGCAAAAAUGCAUAUAAGUCAUACUCCUUCGGUUCCUAAAUAUAAGUCUUGCUAGAGAUUUGAAUAUGCACUACAUACAGAUGAAUAUAGACAUAUUUUAGAGUGCAGAAUCACUCAUUUUGCUGAGUAACUGAAAAAUAAUUUAUCAUUCAAACAGCUUUGCAUGAAGCAAAACUAUAAUGAAAGCACCGAAAAGUAUGAAGGGCCCUGAAUGAUGUCCACACAACGGUUUAGUGCUCCUGAAUAAACUGUCCUAAAUUCCAAACUUUCAAAACAAAACCAUUAAAGGACUGAAAAACAUUGAAAGAAGUGACCACGGAUGCACAAGUCACAUAAAAAUCAUAACAGUGACGCUGCUAGCACACUGCACUUGAACAAAAUGGGCAUCACAAGGCAUCAUUCUUGAACACUAUGAAUUCCGGUUGGAUCAAACUAACAACGCAAAAAAUACAAACCAUGUAGUCACUACCAUAGAAAUCCGGACCAAAUUGUGAAGUAGUAGUACAAUGGCAAUGUUGGGGAACAUUGCAGAAAACAAAAAUUUUCCUACGGUUUCCCCAAGAUCCAUCUAUGAGUUCAUCUAGCAACGAGUGAUCGGAUUGCAUCUACAUACCUUUGUAGAUCACGCACGGAAGCGUUCAAAGAACGGGGAUGAGGAAGUCGUACUCGACGUGAUCCAAAUCACCGGAGAUCCUAGCGCCGAACGGACGGCACCUCCGCGUUCAACACACGUACGGUCAGCGUAACGUCUCCUCCUUCUUGAUCCAGCAAGGGGAAGGAGAGGUUUGAGGAAGAUGGCUCCAGCAGCAGCACGACGGCGUGGUGGUGAUGGAGCUGCAGUACUCCGGCAGGGCUUCGCCAAGCUCUAUGGAGGAGGAGGAGGUGUUGGAGAGGGAGAGGGAGGAACCAAAGGCAAAGGUAAGAGGUCCUCCAUCCCCCCCCCCCACUAUAUAUAGGGGGGCCUAGGGGGGCGCCGGCCCUAGGAGAUGCAAUCUCCUAGGACGGGGGCGGCGGCCAAGGGGUGGGGGGCUUGCCCCCCAAGCAAGGGGGCGCCCCCCUUUAGGGUUUCCCCCACCCUAGGCGCAUGGGCCCUAGGGAAGUGGCGCCCCAGCCUACUUUGGGCUGGAUCCCUUCCCACUUCAGCCUAUGGGGCCCUCCGGGAUAGGUGGCCCCACCCGGUGGAUCCCCGGGACCCUUCCGGUGGUCCUGGUACAAUACCGGUGACCCCGAAACUUGUCCCGACGGCCGAAAUAGCACUUUCUAUAUAUAAUUCUUUACCUCCGGACCAUUCCGGAACUCCUCGUGACGUCCGGGAUCUCAUCCGGGACUCCGAACAACAUUUGGGUUACUGCAUAUACAUAUCCCUACAACCCUAGCGUCACCGAACCUUAAGUGUGUAGACCCUACGGGUUCGGGAGACAUGUAGACAUGACCGAGAUCGCUCUCCGGUCAAUAACCAACAGCGGGAUCUGGAUACCCAUGUUGGCUCCCACAUGCUCCUCGAUGAUCUCAUCGGAUGAACCAUGAUGUCUAGGAUUCAAGCAACCCCGUAUACAAUUCCCUUUGUCAAUCGGUAUGUUACUUGCCCGAGAUUCGAUCGUCGGUAUCCCAAUACCUCGUUCAAUCUCGUUACCGGCAAGUCACUUUACUCGUACCGUAAUGCAUGAUCACGUGACCAAACACUUGGUCACUUUGAGCUCAUUAUGAUGAUGCAUUACCGAGUGGGCCCAAUGAUACCUCUCCGUCAUACGGAGUGACAAAUCCCAGUCUUGAUCCAUGUCAACCCAACAGACACUUUCAGAGAUACCCGUAGUAUACCUUUAUAGUCACCCAGUUACGUUGUGACGUUUGGUACACCCAAAGCACUCCUACGGUAUCCGGGAGUUACACGAUCUCAUGGUCUAAGGAAAGGAUACUUGACAUUGGAAAACUCUAGCAAACGAACUAUACGAUCUUGUGCUAUGUUUAGGAUUGGGUCUUGUCCAUCACAUCAUUCUCCUAAUGAUGUGAUCUUGUUAUCAAUGACAUCCAAUGUCCAUAGUCAGGAAACCAUGACUAUCUGUUGAUCAAUGAGCUAGUCAACUAGAGGCUUACUAGGGACAUGUUGGUGUCUAUUAUUCACACAUGUAUUAUGAUUUCCGGAUAACACAAUUAUAGCAUGAAUAAAGACAAUUAUCAUGAACAAGGAAAUAUAAUAAUAAUUCUUUUAUUAUUGCCUCUAGGGCAUAUUUCCAACAGUCUCCCACUUGCACUAGAGUCAAUAAUCUAGUUACAUUGUGAUGAAUCAAACACCCAUGGAAUUCUGGUGUUGAUCAUGUUUUGCUCUAGGGAGAGGUUUAGUCAACGGAUCUGCUACAUUCAGGUCCGUAUGUACUUUACAAAUAUCUAUGUCUCCAUCUUGAACAUUUUCACGAAUGGAGUUGAAGCGACGCUUGAUGUGCCUUGUCUUCUUGUGAAACCUGGGCUCCUUGGCAAGUGCAAUAGCUCUAGUGUUGUCACAGAAGAUUUUGAUUGGCCCCGACGCAUUGGGUAUGACUCCUAGGUCGGUGAUGAACUCCUUCACCCAAAUUGCUUCAUGCGCUGCCUCCGAGGCUGCCAUGUACUCCGCUUCACAUGUAGAUCCCGCCACGACGCUCUGCUUGCAACUGCACCAGCUUACUGCCCCACCAUUCAAAAUAUACACGUAUCCGGUUUAUGACUUGGAGUCAUCCAGAUCUGUGUCGAAGCUAGCGUCGACGUAACCUUUUACGACGAGCUCUUCGUCACCUCCAUAAACGAGAAACAUUUCCUUAGUCCUUUUCAGGUACUUCAGGAUAUUCUUGACCGCUGUCCAGUGUUCCUUGUCGGGAUUACUUUGGUACCUUCCGACCAAACUUACGGCAAGGUUUACAUCAGGUCUGGUACACAGCAUAGCAUACAUAAUAGACCCUAUGGCUGAGGCAUAGGGGAUGACACUCAUCUAUUCUAUAUCCUCUGUCGUGGUCGGACAUUGAGCUGAGCUCAAUUUCACACCUUGCAACACAGGCAAGAACCCCUUCUUAGACUGAUCCAUAUUGAACUUCUUCAAUAUCUUAUCAAGGUAUAUGCUUUGUGAAAGACCUAUGAGGCGUCUUGAUCUAUCUCUGUAGAUCUUGAUGCCUAAUAUGUAAGCAGCUUCUCCAAGGUCCUUCAUUGAAAAACCCUUAUUCAAGUAGGCCUUAAUGCUGUCCAAAAGCUCUAUAUCAUUUCCCAUCAAAAGUAUGUCAUCUACAUAUAAUAUGAGAAAUGCUACAGAGCUCCCACUCACUUUCUUGUAAACACAGGCUUCUCCAUAAGUCUGCAUAAACCCAAACUCUUUGAUCAUCUCAUCAAAGCGAAUGUUCCAACUCCGAGAUGCUUGCACUAGCCCAUAAAUCGAGCGUUGGAGCUUGCACACCUUGUCAGCAUUCUUAGGAUCGACAAAACCUUCCGGCUGCAUCAUAUACAAUUCUUCCUUAAGGAAACCAUUAAGGAAUGCCGUUUUGACGUCCAUUUGCCAUAUCUCAUAAUCAUAGAAUGCGGCAAUUGCUAACAUGAUUUGGACAGACUUUAGCUUCGCUACCGGUGAGAAAGUCUCAUCGUAGUCAAUCCCUUGAACUUGUCGAUAACCCUUAGUGACAAGCCGAGCUUUAUAGAUGGUCACAUUACCAUCUGCGUCUGUCUUCUUCUUAAAGAUCCAUUUAUUUUCUAUGGCUCGCCGCUCUAUGGGCAAGUCAGUCAAAGUCCAUACUUCGUUUUCAUACAUGGAUCCUAUCUCGAAUUUCAUGGCUUCCAGCCAUUUGUCAGAAUCCGGGCCCGCCAUCGCUUCUUCAUAGUUCGAAGGUUUACCAUUGUCUAACAAUAUGAUUUCUAAGACAGGGUUGCCGUACCAAUCUGGUGCGGAACGUGUCCUUGUGGACCUUCGAAUUUCAGUAGGAGCUUGAUCAGAAGUAUCUUGAUCAUCAUCAUUAACUUCCUCUCUAGUCGGUGCAGGCACCUCAGGAACAUUUUCUUGAGUUGCGCCAUUUUCCAGUUCAAGAGGUAAUACUUCAUCAAGUUCUACUUUCCUCCCACUUACUUCUUUCGAGAGAAACUCCUUCUCUAGAAAGGAUCCAUUCUUGGCAACAAAGAUCUUGCCUUCGGAUCUGAGGUAGAAGGUAUACCCAAUAGUUUCUUUAGGAUAUCUUAUGAAGACGCAUUUUUCCGACUUGGGUUCGAGCUUUUCAGGUUGAAGUUUCUUGACAUAAGCAUCGCAUCCCCAAACUUUUAGAAACGACAGCUUAGGUUUCUUCCCAAACCAUAAUUCAUACGGUGUCGUCUCAAGGAUUUCGACGGAGCCCUAUUUAAAGUGAAUGCGGCAGUCUCUAAAGCAUAGCCCCAAAAAGAUAGCGGUAAAUCGGUAAGAGACAUCAUAGAUCGCACCAUAUCUAAUAGAGUGCGAUUACGACGUUCAGACACACCAUUACGCUGAGGUGUUCCAGGCGGCGUGAGUUGUGAAACUAUUCCACAUUUUCUUAAGUGUGUGCCAAAUUCGUGACUCAAGUAUUCUCCUCCACGAUCUGAUCGCAGGAACUUGAUUUUCCUGUCACGUUAAUUCUCAACCUCACUCUGAAAUUUCUUGAACUUUUCAAAGGUCUCAGACUUGUGUUUCAUUAAGUAGACAUACCCAUAUCUACUCAAGUCAUCAGUGAGGGUGAGAACAUAACGAUAGCCACCGCGAGCCUCAACACUCAUUGGACCGCACACAUCAGUAUGUAUGAUUUCCAAUAAGUUGUUUGCUCGCUCCAUUGUUCCUGAGAACGGAGUCUUGGUCAUUUUACCCAUGAGGCAUGGUUCGCACGUGUCAAAUGAUUCGUAAUCAAGAGACUCUAAAAGUCCAUCAGCAUGGAGCUUCUUCAUGCAUUUGACACCUAUGUGACCAAGGCGGCAGUGCCACAAGUAUGUGGGACUAUCAUUAUCAAUCUUACAUCUUUUGGUACUCACACUAUGAACAUGUGUAGCAUUACGCUCGAGAUUCAUUAAGAAUAAACCAUUCACCAUCGGAGCAUGACCAUAAAACAUAUCUCUCAUAUAAAUAAAACAACCAUUAUUCUCGGAUUUAAAUGAGUAGCCAUCUCGAAUUAAACGAGAUCCUGAUACAAUGUUCAUGCUCAAAGCUGGCACUAAAUAACAAUUAUUAAGGUUUAAAACUAAUGCCGAAGGUAAAUGUAGAGGUAGCGUGCCGACGGCGAUCACAUUGACCUUGGAACCAUUCCCGACGUGCAUCGUCACCUCGUCCUUUGCCAGUCUCCGCUUAUUCCGCAGCUCCUGUUUUGAGUUACAAAUGUGAGCAACCACACCGGUAUCAAAUACCCAGGAGCUACUACGAGUACUGGUAAGGUACACAUCAAUUACAUGUAUAUCACAUAUACCUUUCGUGAUGUCGGCCUUCUUGUCCGCUAAGUAUUUGGGGCAGUUCCGCUUCCAGUGACCACUUCCCUUGCAAUAAAAGCACUCAGUCUCGGGCUUGGGUCCAUUCUUUAGCUUCUUCCCGGCAGCUUGCUUGCCGGGCGCGGCAACUCCCUUGCCGUCCUUCUUGAAGGCUUUCUUACCCUUGCCCUUCUUGAACUUAGUGGUUUUAUUCACCAUCAACACUUGAUAUUCCUUUUUGACUUCUACCUCUGCUGAUUUCAGCAUUGCAAAUACUUCAGGAAUGGUCUUUUCCAUCCCAUGCAUAUUGAAGUUCAUCACAAAGCUCUUGUAGCUCGGUGGAAGUGACUGAAGGAUUCUGUCAAUGACCGCGUCAUCCGGGAGAUUAACUCCCAGCUGAGUCAAGCGGUUAUGCAACCCAGACAUAGUGAGUAUGUGCUCACUGACAGAACUGUUUUCCUCCAUCUUACAGCUGAAGAACUUGUCAGAGACUUCAUAUCUCUCGACCCGGGCAUGAGCUUGGAAAACCAUUUUUAGCUCUUCGAACAUCUCAUAUGCUCCGUGUCUCUCAAAACGCUUUUGGAGCCCCGGCUCUAAGCUGUAAAGCAUGCCGCACUGAACGAGGGAGUAGUCAUCGGUACGUGCCUGCCAAGCGUUCAUAACGUCUUGUUCUGCAGGGAGAACAGGUGCGUCACCCAGCGGUGCUUGUAGGACAUAAUCUUUCUUGGCAGCUAUGAGGAUGAUCCUCAGGUUCCAGACCCAGUCCGUGUAGUUGCUGCCAUCGUCUUUCAGCUUGGUUUUCUCUAGGAACGCGUUGAAGUUGAGGACUACGUUGGCCAUUUGAUCUACAAGACAUAUUGUAAAAAAAAAUUAGACUAAGUUCAUGAUAAUUAAGUUCAUCUAAUCAAAUUAUUCAAUGAACUCCCACUUAGAUAGACAUCCCUCCAGUAAUCUAAGUAUAACAUGAUCCGAGUUAACUAGGCCAUGUCCGAUCAUCACGUGAGACGGACUAGUCAACAUCGGUGAACAUCUUCAUGUUGAUCGUAUCUUGUAUACGACUCAUGCUCGACCUUUCGGUCUUCUGUGUUCCGAGGCCAUGUCUGCACAUGCUAGGCUCGUCAAGUCAACAUAAGUGUUUGCAUGUGUAAAUCUGUCUUACACCCGUUGUAUGUGAACGUUGGAAUCUAACACCCGAUCAUCACGUGGUGCUUCGAAACAACGAACUGUCGCAACGGUGCACAGUUAGGGGAAACACUUUCUUGAAAUUAUUAUGAGGGAUCAUCUUAUUUACUACCGUCGUUCUAAGUAAACAAGAUGCAGAAACAUGAUAAACAUCACAUGCAAUCAAAUAAUAAUAGUGACAUGAUAUGGCCAAUAUCACAUAGCUCCUUUGAUCUCCAUCUUGGGGCUCCAUGAUCAUCUUGUCACCGGCAUGACACCAUGAUCUCCAUCAUCAUGAUCUCCAUCAUCGUGUCUCCAUGAAGUUGCUCGCCAACUAUUACUUCUACUACUACGGCUAACGCGUUUAGCAAUAAAGUAAAGUAAUUUACAUGGCGUUUCUCAAUGACACGCAGGUCAUACAAAAAAUAAAGACAACUCCUAUGGCUCCUGCCGGUUGUCAUACUCGACAUGCAAGUCGUGAUUCCUAUUACAAUAGCAUGAACAUCUCAUACAUCACAUAUAUAUCAUUCAUCAUUCAUCACAACUUUGGCCAUAACACAUCACAGAACACUUGCUGCAAAAACAAGUUAGACGUCCUCUAAUUGUUGUUGCAAGUUUUACGUGGCUGCAAUAGGGUUCUAGCAAGAACGUUUUCUUACCUACGUGAAAGCCACAACGUGAUUUGUCAACUUCUAUUUACCCUUCAUAAGGACCCUUUUCAUUGAAUCCGCUCCAACUAAAGUGGGAGAGACAGACACCCGCCAGCCACCUUAUGCAACUUGUGCAUGUUAGUCGGUGGAACCGGUCUCACGUAAGCGUACGUGUAAGGUUGGUCCUGGCCGCUUCAUCCCACAAUACCGUUGAAGCAAGAUAAGACUAGUAGCGGCAAGAAAGUUGACAACAUCAACGCCCACAACAAAUUGUGUUCUACUCGUGCAAGAGAACUACGCAUAGACCUAGCUCUGAUACCACUGUUGGGGAACGUUGCAGAAAACAAAAAAAAUUCUACGAUUUCACCAAGAUCCAUCUAUGAGUUCAUCUAGCAAUGAGUGAUCGGAUUGCAUCUACAUACCUUUGUAGAUCACGCGCGGAAGCGUUCAAAGAACGGGGAUGAGGAAGUCGUACUCGACGUGAUCCAAAUCACCGGAGAUCCUAGCGCCGAACGGACGACACCUCCGCGUUCAACACACGUACGGUCAGUGUAACAUCUCCUCCUUCUUGAUCCAGCAAGGGGAAGGAGAGGUUUGAGGAAGAUGGCUCCAGCAGCAGCACGACGGCGUGGUGGUGAUGGAGCUGCAGUACUCCGGCAGGGCUUCGCCAAGCUCUAUGGAGGAGGAGGAGGUGUUGGAGAGGGAGAGGGAGGCACCAAAGGCAAAGGUAAGAGGUCCUUCAUCCCCCCACUAUAUAUAGGGGGGUCUAGGGGGGGCGCCGACCCUAGGAGAUGCAAUCUCCUAGGGGGGGGGCGGCCAAGGGGUGGGGGGCUUGCCCCCCAAGCAAGGGGGCGCCCCCCCUUUAGGGUUUCCCCCACCCUAGGCGCAUGGGCCCUAGGGGAAGUGGCGCCCCAGCCUACUUUGGGCUGGAUCCCUUCCCACUUCAGCCCAUGGGGCCCUCCGGGAUAGGUGGCCCCACCCGGUGGACCCCCGGGACCCUUCCGGUGGUCCCGGUACAAUACCGGUGACCCCGAAACUUGUCCCAACGGCCGAAAUAGCACUUUCUAUAUAUAAUUCUUUACCUCCGGACCAUUCCGGAACUCCUCGUGACGUCCGGGAUCUCAUCCGGGACUCCGAACAACAUUCGGGUUACUGCAUAUACAUAUCCCUACAACCCUAGCGUCACCGAACCUUAAGUGUGUAGACCCUACGGGUUCGAGAGACAUGUAGACAUGACUGAGAUCGCUCUCCGGUCAAUAACCAACAGCGGGAUCUGGAUACCCAUGUUGGCUCCCACAUGCUCCUCGAUGAUCUCAUCGGAUGAACCACGAUGUCGAGGAUUCAAGCAACCCCGUAUACAAUUCCCUUUGUCAGUCGGUAUGUUACUUGCCCGAGAUUCGAUCGUCGGUACCCCAAUACCUCGUUCAAUCUCGUUACCGGCAAGUCACUUUACUCGUACCGUAAUGCAUGAUCCCGUGACCAGACACUUGGUCACUUUGAGCUCAUUAUGAUGAUGCAUUACCGAGUGGGCCCAGUGAUACCUCUCCGUCAUACGGAGUGACAAAUCCCAGUCUUGAUUCGUGUCAACCCAACAGACACUUUCGGAGAUACCCGUAGUAUACCUUUAUAUUUACCCAGUUAUGUUGUGACGUUUGGUACACCCAAAGCACUCCUACGGUAUCCGGGAGUUACACGAUCUCAUGGUCUAAGGAAAGGAUACUUGACAUUGGAAAACUCUAGCAAACGAACUAUACGAUCUUGUGCUAUGUUUAGGAUUGGGUCUUGUCCAUCACAUCAUUCUCCUAAUGAUGUGAUCUCGUUAUCAAUGACAUCCAAUGUCCAUAGUCAGGAAACCAUGACUAUCUGUUGAUCAACGAGCUAGUCAACUAGAGGCUUACUAGGGACAUGUUGGUGUCUAUUAUUCACACAUGUAUUACGAUUUCCGGAUAACACAAUUAUAGCAUGAAUAAAGACAAUUAUCAUGAACAAGGAAAUAUAAUAAUAAUUUUUUUAUUAUUGCCUCUAGGGCAUAUUUACAACAGAGCAUGCUACUUCAAUGUUAUCCAUAAUCUGAUCGCAUAAAAUCUAGUACUCAUGUUGUAAUUAAUCGACGAGGUACAUCUUUUGUCACCGCUUCAGAAAAAAAAAGUACUUGUGUUAUACGACAGCGUACCACAUAAUAGAUGAAGCACUGCCGUUGUAUUCAUACUCUCCCUUUUCUGAAAAACAUAUGAAUAUCUCCUAUGCAAUUGUACUGCAAAAAGAAGUCUAAAGAACUAGAGGAUUUCAUGAUUUGUAUUGAACAGUAUAUAUUGAGUAAUAUUGCAAUAGAAAGCACAAAAGAGAAUCUAAUCUAGUGAAUAUUAUAGAAGAAAUAAUAAAUAGUCAGUUCAAUUUGCAGAAAUUUAAAAUACAGGUCAUAUUCUAUCUAGCUACUGUAUAGGGAAGUAUUAAAAGCAGCAGCCAGCAGGAGCUAGGAGGAGUAGCAAUCAGCGGCACCAGCAUAGAAUCAGCGUCACGAAGGGAUGCCCAGGAAGCCGUAUAUCAUGCACGCGCAUGGCGCACAUCAUACAAACACACGCACGCGAGGAGUAAGUUGCAGAAAACCACCAUUUUAAAGGCUAGGUUUGCAAAAAAUACUAUGCUACAUAUUUUUGGCAGAAAACACCAUGUCUACCGUAAUCUUCUGACAAAUAACACUGAUCGGCGUAUUAGAGUUGUUUGAGCGUGUUUAUGACAGGUGGGGCUCACUUGUGAGGAGCUGACUUGGCAAAAAAUGCCACAUAGGCGUGUUGACUCUUCCUCCUCUCUGUCCACUCGCUUGAGCAUUACGUCGAACAAGUCGUGUGCGCUCACAGUGGCGGCAGCCUUCGCCGGAGUCCGGCGAGGCUGCUCAGCCACGAGCUCCAAAAUGCUGCAGAUCUGCACCCCGUUCUCCUCCGUCGCCUCACAGCAGUAGGUUUGGUGCGCGCCGCCUCCGCUGCAUCCGUCCGCGACGACGCAGAGCCACCGCAGCACCAGGUUCACAUGCGCCGCCGCUGCGUCCGGCUGCUUCUCCCCGUCCCACACAGAACCAAUGAGGAAGAUGUCGCGCCACCUGCUGCAGCAGUCCGUCGACCGCCUGGCCGCGCUGGCGGCGGCCAGCGGUGGUACGAGCAUGCUCACGGACACGAGCGUGCUCACGGACACGAGCGGUGGUACGAGCGUGCUCGUCCUGGCGGCGGUGCUCUGCCUGAUGCUCCACAUGGUCGGGGCUGGCCAUGGUGGCCCAGUGCUCCCGCCUGUGCAAUCCCUCCGCCUUAUUCGUCGACGCGCCGGGGCAGUCGCUGCAUCGUGCAAGGGGAUCAAGAAGAAGGCGCUGCAGUCGCUGCCCACGGACGAGCGCAUCCGGCGGAGUUAGCGCCCCUGCCGUUUCCGCCCUGUCCGUGAUCUCAGGCUGAUUGGAGGUACGAGCUUGUUCGAUUGCUAUUGUCCAGCGAUUAGCUAAGCACCCACUGACCUCCACGAUUUCUGGCCGCACACGGCACCCCGUCUAGAUCCCUAGGUAGCAACUAGCAAGGCGUCCAAGAUGAGAUUCCUGCGGAGUUUCUUCUGUUCAUGUCACCGAGAUGCAUUUGGACAGCCGCAGUCGACGCACAUCGAGUAUGCAUUCCCGACGAAUCUGGUGCAGGGCGGGGAUGAUGGAGAUGGAUGUCUCCUGAUCCAGCUGGGGGUACGACGGUGGCGGCGGGGGCACGGCCGGAGGGCCUGGGCGGCGCUGGGACGCGAUGGGUGCGCUGGGGAAGAAGGGAUGGCCGACACAGUUUUUGCAGAGGGAUAGGAAAGAGUAGACUAGUCAACACGCCUAUGUGGCACUUUUUGCCAAGUCAGCUUCUGACGAGUGUGCCCCACCUGUCAUAAACGCGCUCAAACGAUCCUAAUAAGCCAAUCAGUGUUAUUUAUCAAAAAAUUACGAUAGUGUAACAUCGCAAAUUUUCAAUUUAGAAUGUUAUACAUAGAUCAUCCAGGCAUAUCACGUUUUAUUGCUUUUCCGUUCCGUAAUCUUCGAAAUCCUAAGCAGCUCAAGGACCCUCGGAGAGAGUUGGGAUUUUCCGGUCUCCAUAUUUGAUUCUUUUAUCAAAUAAUGAAAAGAGGAUUUAAUUUUAAUUAUUUCUCUCUGAAAAAUAUUUCACAUUAAAAAUUAAAGAGAGGAGAUAAUAUGACUUGUCUAAAAUAAAUGAAAUAUUGGAGGAAAAUAUUUAAAUCAUUAAAUUGAUUUUUAUUGGAUUUUAUUUGCAUUAGAAAAAUUGCAUGUUUUUUAAAAUUGCAUUUUAGGGCCAAGAAAAUGUUCAUCUUAUUCUAAAUAUUUUAUUUAGACGGUGAAAAAUUGUUUUGGCAUUUUUAGGUUUUUAUUUAUUUUUUUCUAGGAUUUUAUUUCGGUCGGCUAAGUUUUUCUUAAAAAAAAGAAAGGGGUUCCGCGCCGACUGGGCCUAAGGCCCAGCCGCGCCAGGCCGCCGCCGCCGCCGCCACUCGGACCGGAGUCUGAGUUGGACUCCGCCUNNNNNNNNNNNNNNNNNNNNNNNNNNNNNNNNNNNNNNNNNNNNNNNNNNNNNNNNNNNNNNNNNNNNNNNNNNNNNNNNNNNNNNNNNNNNNNNNNNNNNNNNNNNNNNNNNNNNNNNNNNNNNNNNNNNNNNNNNNNNNNNNNNNNNNNNNNNNNNNNNNNNNNNNNNNNNNNNNNNNNNNNNNNNNNNNNNNNNNNNNNNNNNNNNNNNNNNNNNNNNNNNNNNNNNNNNNNNNNNNNNNNNNNNNNNNNNNNNNNNNNNNNNNNNNNNNNNNNNNNNNNNNNNNNNNNNNNNNNNNNNNNNNNNNNNNNNNNNNNNNNNNNNNNNNNNNNNNNNNNNNNNNNNNNNNNNNNNNNNNNNNNNNNNNNNNNNNNNNNNNNNNNNNNNNNNNNNNNNNNNNNGCCGCCGCCAAGCCCCGCCGCCCCGCACCCUGCCCCGCCGGAGCCCCUCGCCGAAGGUAGCCACCGCGCCCCGCCGCCGGUUUUUUUAUAAAGACCAUUCGGUUUUUUAGAAACCCUAGAUCCGCUUUUUUGGAUUCGUCGAUUUUUUUCGGUUCUUCUAGUUAGGGGACGUUCGUCCGAACGUUCAUUUUAACGAACGGUUCCUCGCCCGUUAGAAACAACUAACGAACACUCGUUCGUUAGUCUGUUCGUGAGUUUUAUUUUAUCGGAUUUAUUCCAUGAUUUUUCUGAUCGUGAUUUCUGAUUCGAUCUUAGUUUCUGUUUAUCUUUUCGCUCGUUUAACGGAAUCAGGCGAUUCAAGCGCCUGGAGUUUCGUCUCGAAACCCUCUUUCCGUUUAACCAACUCAAACAAGUUUAUGCUACUGUAAAAUUUGACCUAGUUUCAGAUUAGUAAACGAAGCUUCUUUCUUUCGCCAUUUGAGUUUUGUUGCUCCGUUUGUUUUGAUUCUUUUUGCGAAGCGGAGUUCUUAAUUUGAACUUUCUGGUCAACCUCUCUUAUUUGAGUUUUGCUUGUGCAUCGUUGCUUGUUACUUAUGUAUGUUAUUGUUUGCUUGCGAUAGAAUUCCCGGAGUGCGAAGCGUGUUACUACGAGUCUCUAGGAUUCGCGGAUCGUUAGCAAGGCAAGUAACACUUUGAUCAUAUCCCAUUAUUACCCAGUUUUUAUGCAUUAGUUCCAAUCCUCAAACAUUGCAUGAUUAAGAUGUCAUUAACUUGUGCGUUGGGAAGUAGUUGCUGAGGUAGAACCUACUACCCUGUUAUAUUCAAACCCUUGUGAGUUACUUCUACGUAUUGCUUAUAUUGCUAUGCUAUGCUCGUAGACGUGGUUUGGAUUUGAGUGAAAUUCAUGUCAGAUGUGAGAUUGGUAAUUAAUGGUUCAACUUAAGGUGGCAACUUACUCAAACAACUGGGUGGAUUGAGGCACCUGGGGAACCUAGUGUUGUCUAUUUUUUUGGAAAUCCCGGGGUACCCGUGUGAUCUUCCUAUGGACCGCCAUCCAGGCUCAAAGGGAACUGAGAUGAUUCAUGCUAGAAACUUUCGUGUGCAGCCACAAGCUAUUAUGGGCUCUAGCAUAGUUGGGUAAGUUACGUGAAACUCUUGAAGAGGUAGAUCAGCAGGUAGUGGGUUUUUUAGGUUUGGUAUGGUCUACCCGGAGUAGAGAGUUAAUGUUUCUGAAAGACUGUGUCUCGGUCAUCCAUUUCUCAAACACCAUGUAGUGCGAGAAAUCCAACAGAGGCGAUCGAGUCUUGUGGGGAAAAGUGCUCAAACCUCUGCAGAGUGUACAAUCUAAUCAUGGUUAGCCGUGUCCCCGGUUACGGACAAUUCUUGAGUAUCUAGUACUUGGGUUAUCACAUGUAUCUCACCAUGCUUAAUUAAUACUGUUGGGAUGUUAAUUCACUUUAAUUGGGAUUGAGUUGGGGAUACCUUCUCAAUGAUGUUUCAACCACCAUGAUAGUAAAUUAAAAUCUAUUCCGUUGUUGUAGGGAAAAAUUGGAUUUUCGUAAAACUACAACCAUACAGCUUUCCACCAGCCAUAUAUGCAUGUAGUGAUAGCAUUAUUCUGUUUCUACUCUACUGUGUUAUAUUGCCAGCAUAUUCCAUGUGCUGACCCGUUUUCGGGCUGCAAUGUAUUAUGUUGCAGAAUUUUCAGACGAGGAGUAAGGUUCGUUAGGUCGUUGCCGUGAAGCUCAGCUAUGCCGUUGGAGUUGAUGGAUUCACCUUAUCUUCCAAGCCUUCCGCUGUUAUCGCAUUAGAUGGCCUUAAGACAUAUUAUUGUAAUAAGUUCUCUUUGAAGACAUUCGAUGUAAUAGUGUGUGAUUGCUACUCUGUUAUAAAUCCUUCGAGUAUUGUGUGUGUCAGCAUUACCGAUACAGGGAUGACACUGAAGCACAGAGACUUGACCAUAUGAGGUCGGGUCGCUACAAGAUGGUAUCAGAGCACACGCUGAGUGUAGGACACGACCACUAAGAUAAACCCUAGGUCACACUUCUCUUCUCAUUUCUGACUCCUCUCCAUUUUCUACUCUUUAGGAUGACGGAGAUGAAGAACAAGUUUGCACAAUCGGAUGAAGACACACCUUUUGGAUGCCACUUGAAGGAAGUCCCUAGGUACUUGAACAUUGGAAUACCAAGCUUCACCGGGACGUACAACGCCACUUUACCUGAAGAGGAGCGCUGGAUGAUUCAAGUACAAGUUCCAGGAAGGACGUUCUCGCCAACUUCUAAACCCAUAGAAUUUUCCUUCGACGCACCAACCUGGAGUUUAGGAAAGAGUAUGGCAGCUCACAUCACCAUGGGACGCAUUGGAGAAGUUGUUUACAACAGGGAGCUUAAGGACACUAUUUACCAAAUAUGUGGGCGCCGAGACGAGCAAUGGGAAGUAAUCAGCACUAAGAAGGAUAGAUCCAUUGCAGCUUUCAUCCAGGAGUUAAACCAGCACAUUCGACGUUAGGAGAACCAGAUGUGUGCGGACAUGAUGGACUUGAAGAAGGCAAAGACUAGGAUCAUCGAGCUGGAGGAAGAACUCAAGUUUACCUGCGAUGGAUAUGAGGAGGAAAUCAAGACCCUACUGGAGAAGAAUGACGACUUAGUCAAGAAGAUCGGAGUAUUCAUGGGAGGACCAGCACCAAUAGAAGAAGAAGAACCCAAGGAAAUACGCCCCGAGGACUACAUCAUCAUCGACGACACCGACUCCGACCCUAGUUAUGAUGACUUUGAAGACGAAGCUGGAGCAGACACCAUGGAGUCUUCCACCGAUCAAAAUUUCUAGAUGACUACCAUAUAUUAGUAGUAUUUCCCCCAUGUAUAUAGUAGUAGUGAGCACUUUUGCGAUAGUUCUAGACCGUUUGUAUGCCCUUGCUUGAUUGAUUGAGUGAAAUGAUUGUGUUUCUCUCAUGUGCAUAUGGGUAAUGUUUUCUCAUUAGACCUCUUCUAUUCUAAAUCUCUCCCAUCUAAACCCCUCAGAUGCCUUCGAGACGUGACCCCGGUUUUGCCUUCCCGCCGGAGCUCACCCAGUUGAUCCAGCAGCAGAAUGCCUUGAUGCAAUUGCUGGUUCAGAACCAGGGCAACAACAACUACAACAACCCACCGCCAGUGGAUAACCUAGCCCGUUUUCUAAGGUUACAGCCGCCGGUGUUUUCUAGUAGCACCGAGCCUAUAUUUGAUGAUGAUUGGCUAUGCUGUAUUGGAAGGGAGUUGACCACCGCAUGUUGCACAGAUGCUGAGAAGGUGCGCUUUGCCGCACAUCAAUUGGAUGGACCAGCAGCCUCAUGGUGGGAGAAUUACACGGCCAUUUUCCUAUAGCCAAUGUCACUUGGGACCAGUUUCAGCAAGCUUUCCGCACAACCCAUGUCUCCACUGGAGCUAUGCAGAUGAAGAAGCAGGAGUUCCGCAACCUACGCCAGGGGAACCGUACUGUGGCUCAGUACAUGGAUGAGUUUAGCAAGUUAUCUCGCUACGCCCCUGAUGAUGUGGCCACAGAUGCCGCGAAAUAGGAGAAGUUUAUGGAAGGGCUGAAUGAUGAGAUGAGCAUGCAGUUGAUGGUAGCAACCUUCAACAACUACCAGGAGUUGGUAGAUAAGGCUCUUAUGAUUGAAAGGAAACAACAGCAGAUUGAGAGCCGCAAGAGAAAGUAUGGACAAGGGAAGUAUAACUCAGGAGCUCAACAGAAGCCUUGCCUAACCCCGAACACGGGAGGACUUGUUCACAACCAUGGAGGUCACAACCACACUGGAGGAGGAUCACAUAACCACAGUGGUGCUAAGAAUGGGAAUGGGAACGGAGCUAACAACAAUCAGAACCGCUCCAACCCGUCCACUCCCGCCAAAAGAGACUUAAGUCAGGUUACCUAUUUUAAGUGCGGGAAGACAGGGCACUAUGCCAAUGAUUGCCCCGAAGGAAGGAAUGGAAACGGAAAUGGAAGCACUGGGAAGAAUCCCAAUCCAUUCAACAAAGGACAAGUGAACCACGUUAACGUGGAGGAGGUUGAAGAGCAGCCGGACGCGGUAAUAGGUAAGUUUUUGGUUAAGUCAUUUACAGCUCUUGUUCUUUUCGAUACUUGUGCAUCACAUUCAUACAUAUCAAGGGGAUUCGUGGAUAAGUUUAAACUACCAACCCAAACCCUUAGGACCCCUCUUUUAGUGAGUUCACCCGGAGCAGAGUAUAUGGCUAGCCGAUGGUGUGACCAGAUACCCUUAACCAUUGGUACACAUGUUUUUCCGUCCGACCUAAUUAUCUUGGAGUCACAAGGAUUGGAUGUGAUAUUGGGUAUGGACUAGAUGUCCAAGUUUGGAGGAAGCAUUGACUGUGCUAGUAAGUCGAUUUAUCUCACCACCCCGGAAGGAAAAAGGAUUAAGUAUGUAUCUAGGCAUGUGCCUAGGAGGAGUCAAGUGAAUGCCCUUACGGGAGUUGUUCAGGAGGAAAUGCCUGUAGUGAAGGAUUACCCGGAUGUUUUCCCAGAGGAGUUACCAGGCAUGCCACCGGACAGAGAUAUUGAGUUUUGAUAGAGCUGUUACCAGGAACAGGACCAUUAUCCAAGAGACCCUAUCGGAUGCCCGCAAAUGAUCUGGAAGAAAUUAAGAAACAGAUCAAGGAGUUAUUGGAGAAAGGAUAUAUCCGAAGAAGUUCAUCACCUUGGGGAGCCCCAGUACUUUUGGUUGAGAAGAAGGAUAAAUCCCUGAGGAUGGUUGUUAAUUAUCGAGCAUUGAAUGAAGUGAUGAUUAAGAACAAGUACCCACUACCGAUGAUCAAUGAUCUGUUUGAUCAGUUGCAAGGAGCUAAAGUGUUUUCGAAGAUCGAUUUGCGACCGGGGUAUCAUUAGUUGAAGAUACGAGAGAAGGACAUACCAAAGACGGCGUUCACAACACGAUAUGGAUUAUACGAGUACACAUUCAUGUCGUUUGGACUGACUAACGCCCCUGCCUAUUUCAUGAGCAUGAUGAACAAGGUGUUCAUGGAGUAUUUGGACAAGUUUGUUGUGGUGUUUAUUGAUGAUAUCAUGGUAUACUCGAAGAACGAGGAGGAGCACAAAGAGCAUUUGCGUUUAGUUCUCGAGAAGCUCAGGGAACACCAGUUGUAUGCUAAGUUUAGAAAAUGCGAGUUUUGGCUGAAGGAAGUCGGAUUCCUUGGACAUGUUAUAUCAGGAGAAGGUAUAGCAGUAGACCCCAGCAAGGUUCAGUCAGUCACUAAAUGGUUGGCACCCACCUCAGUUAGCGAAAUCUGCAGUUUUCUUGGACUCACAGGAUACUACCGGAGAUUCAUUGAGAAUUUUUCCAAGAUUGCAAAACCAAUGACUGAACUGUUGAAGAAGGAUACCAAGUUCAAAUGGACAGAAGAUUGUGAAGCAAGUUUCCAGGAGUGGAAGAAAUGUUUGACUACAGCCCCAGUGCUAGUACUGCCAGAUAUACAUAAGGAGUUCCAAGUGUAUUGCAACGCCUCUCGCUUAGGACUUGGAUGUGUGCUUAUGCAGGACGGAAGAGUUGUUUCGUAUGCCUCACGACAACUAAAACCUCAUGAGUUGAAUUAUGCCACGCAUGAUUUGGAGCUAGCAGUCGUAGUGCAUGCGUUGAAGACUUGGAGACAUUACCUUAUUGGAAACCGUUGUGAUGUGUACACGGAUCACAAGAGUUUAAAGUACAUCUUCACCCAGAAGGAGCUGAACCUUAGGCAGAGGAGAUGGUUGGAGCUUAUAAAGGAUUAUGACAUGAAGCUACACUAUCAUCCAGGAAAGGCCAAUGUCGUAGCAGACGCAUUGAGUAAGAAGAGUUAUGCUAAUACCCUUGAAAGUAAAGGACCGCCGAAGGAAUUAGCAAAGGACAUCAUGGAACUUCGGUUAGAGAUUGUACCUAGAAGGUUCAUUGCCACAAUGAAGGUUCAGUCGACAUUGCUAGACAAGAUUCGGGAAGCUCAAAAAGAUGAUAAGGAGAUUGCUGAGAUAAAGGAGAAGAUGGGCAAAGGAAAGGCCAAAGGUUUUCGUGAGGAUGAGCACGAUACCCUAUGGUUUGAGGACCGAGUUUAUGUGCCCAACAACCAGGAGAUCAGGAAGUUAAUACUUCAAGAGGCCCAUGACUCACCAUACUCGAUACACCCCGGAAACACCAAGAUGUAUUUGGAUUUGAAGGAACGUUUCUGGUGGACUGGUAUGAAGAAGGAUAUUGCCGAGUAUGUAGCCAUAUGUGAUGUAUGUCAGAGAGUUAAGGCAGAACAUCAGAAGCCAGCAGGACUGUUACAGCCUAUGCCGAUACCCGAAUGGAAGUGAGAUAAACUUGGAAUGGACUUUAUCACCGGAUUACCCAGGACUAAAGCAGGAUAUGAUUCCAUAUGGGUAGUAGUUGAUCGUUUGACCAAAGUAGCUCACUUCAUCCCAGUGUAAACCACCUAUACAAGUGCAAAGUUGGCCAAGAUCUAUAUGUCCAGGAUCGUAUGUCUGCAUGGAGUUCCGAGGACCAUCGUAUCGGAUCGAGGAACACAGUUUACUUCAAAGUUUUGGCAUCAGUUACACCAGACUUUGGGAACGAGAUUGGAGUUCAGUACAGCAUUUCAUCCGCAGACAGAUGGACAUACUGAGAGAGUCAAUCAAAUUUUGGAGGACAUGUUGAGAGCAUGUGCGCUAGAUUAUGGAUCUAGUUGGGAUGACAAUUUGCCGUGUGCAGAGUUCUCAUACAACAAUAGCUACCAAGCCAGUUUGAAGAUGGCACCGUUUGAAGCCCUGUAUGGACGCAAGUGCAGAACACCGUUGAUGUGGGAUGAUGUAGGAGACCAACAGUUGUUUGGACCAGACUUGAUUAAAGAAUCUGAGGAGAAUGUAAAACUGAUCCGAGACCGACUGAAGAUUGCUCAGUCCAGGCAGAAGAGUUAUGCAGACUCAAAACGCAAGGAGGUAACCUACGAAAUUGGAGACGCAGCAUAUCUGCGAGUAUCGCCCUUGCGAGGGGUGAAACGUUUUAGAGUUAAAGGAAAGUUAGCCUCGAGAUUUGUAGGACCGUAUCGCAUUUUGGAACGGAUGGGAGAAGUCGCCUACAAGUUGGAGUUACCUGAGGGAUUGUCAGGAGUCCAUGAUGUGUUCCACGUUUCACAGCUGAAGAAGUGUCAUGCUGAGAUGGCGGAAAUACCAUUAAGAGAUACAAUACCCUUAGAGGCGAUUCAGUUGGACAGUGAUUUGACUUACGAGGAGAAGCCAGUUAAGAUUCUUGAGUUUGCCAGCAGAGUCAUCCGCAGUAAGGUUAUCAAGUUUUGUAAAGUUCAGUGGAGCCACCAUACCGAGGAUGAAGCUACCUGGGAACGAGAGGAUGAUCUCCGCAAGGACCACCCAUACCUAUUUUCUAGCCAACCCGAAUCUCGAGGGCGAGAUUCAUCUUAAGGGGGGUAGGUUUGUAACAUCCCAAAUUUUCAAUUUGGAAUGUUAUACAUAGAUCAUCCAGGCAUAUCAUGUUUUAUUGCUUUUCCGUUCUGUAAUCCUCGAAAUCCUAAGCAGCUCAAGGACACUCGGAGAGAGUUGGGGAUUUCCCGGUCUUCAUAUUUGAUUCUUUUAUCAAAUAAUGAAAAGAGGAUUUGAUUUUAAUUAUUUCUCUCCGAAAAAUAUCUCACAUUAAAAAUUAAAGAGAGGAGAUAAUAUGCCUUCUCCAAAAUAAAUGAAAUAUUGGAGGAAAAAUAUUAAAAUCAUUAAAUUGAUUUUUAUUGGAUUUUAUUUGCAUUAGAAAAAUUGCAUGUUUUUCAAAAUUGCAUUUUAGGGCCAAGAAAAUGUUCAUCUUGUUCUAAAUAUUUUAUUUAGACGGUGAAAAAUUGUUUUGGCAUUUUUAGGUUUUUAUUUAUUUUUUUCUAGGAUUUUAUUUCGGUCUGCGAAGUUUAAAAAAAGAAAGGGGUUCCGCGUCGACUGGGCCUAAGGCCCAGCCGCGCCAGGGCGCCGCCUCCUGCGCGCGCGCCGCCGCCGCCGCCACUCGGACCGGAGUCCGAGUUGGACUCCGCCUCCGCCNNNNNNNNNNNNNNNNNNNNNNNNNNNNNNNNNNNNNNNNNNNNNNNNNNNNNNNNNNNNNNNNNNNNNNNNNNNNNNNNNNNNNNNNNNNNNNNNNNNNNNNNNNNNNNNNNNNNNNNNNNNNNNNNNNNNNNNNNNNNNNNNNNNNNNNNNNNNNNNNNNNNNNNNNNNNNNNNNNNNNNNNNNNNNNNNNNNNNNNNNNNNNNNNNNNNNNNNNNNNNNNNNNNNNNNNNNNNNNNNNNNNNNNNNNNNNNNNNNNNNNNNNNNNNNNNNNNNNNNNNNNNNNNNNNNNNNNNNNNNNNNNNNNNNNNNNNNNNNNNNNNNNNNNNNNNNNNNNNNNNNNNNNNNNNNNNNNNNNNNNNNNNNNNNNNNNNNNNNNNNNCGCCCCGCACCCCGCCCCGCCGGAGCCCCUCGCCGGAGGUAGCCACCGCGCCCCGCCGCCGGUUUUUUUAUAAAGACCGUUCGGUUUUUUAGAAACCCUAGAUCCGUUUUUUUGGAUCCGCCGGGUUUUUUCUGUUCUUCUAGUUAGCGGACGUUCGUCCGAACGUUCGUUUUAACGAACGGUUCCUCGCCCGUUAGAAACAACUAAUGAACGCUCGUUCAUUAGUCUGUUCGUGAGUUUUAUUUUAUCGGAUUUAUUCCGUGAUUUUUCUGAUCGUGAUUUCUGACCCGAUCUUAGUUUCUAUUUAUCUUUUCGCUCGUUUAACGAAAUUAGGUGAUUCAAGCGCCUGGAGUUUCGUCUCGAAACCCUCUUUCCGUUUAACCAACUCAAACAAGUUUUUGCUACUGUAAAAUUUGACCUAGUUUCAGAUUAGUAAAUGAAGCUUCUUUCUUUCGCCGUUUGAGUUUCGUUGCUCCGUUUGUUUUGAUUCUUUUUGCGAACCAGAGUUCUUAAUUUGAACUUUCUGGUCAACCUCUCUUAUUUGAGUUUUGCUUGUGCAUCGUUGCUUGUUACUUAUGUAUGUUAUUGUUUGCUUGCGAUAGAAUUACUGGAGUGCGAAGCGUGUUACUACGAGUCUCUAGAAUUCGCGGAUCGUCAGCAAGGCAAGUAACACUUUGAUCAUAUCCCAUUAUUACCCAGUUUUUAUGCAUUAGUUCCAAUCCUCAAACAUUGCAUGAUUAGGAUGUCAUUAACUUGUGGGUUGGGAAGUAGUUGCUGAGGUAGAACAUAUUGCCCUGUUAUAUUCAAACCCUUGGGAGUUACUUCUACGUAUUGCUUAUAUUGCUAUGCUAUGCUCGUAGACGUGGUUUGGGUUUGAGUGAAAUUCAUGUCAGAUGUGAGAUUGGUAAUUAAUGGUUCAACUUAAGGUGGCAACUUAAUCAAACAACUGGGUGGAUUGAGGCACCUGGGGAGCCCAGUGUUGUCUGUUUUUUUGGAAUCCCGGGGUACCCAUGUGAUCUUCCUAUGGACCGCCACCCAGGCUCAAAGGGAACUGAGAUGAUUCAUGCUAGAAACUUCCGUGUGCAGCCACAAACUAUUAUGGGCUCUAGCAUAGUUGAGUAAGUUACGUGAAGCUCUUGAAGAGGUAGAUCAGCAGGUAGUGGGUUUUGUAGGUUUGGUAUGGUCUACCCAGAGUAGAGAGUUAACGUUUCUGAAAGACUGUGUCUCGGUCAUCCGUUUCUCAAACACCAUGUAGUACGAGAAAUCCAACGGAGGAGAUCGAGUCUUGUGGGGAAAAGUGCGCUAACCUCUCCAGAGUGUACAAUCUAAUCAUGGUUAGCCGUGUCCCCGGUUACGGACAAUUCUUGAGUAUCUAGUACUUGGGUUAUCACAUGUAUCUCACCAUGCUUAAUUAAUACUGUUGGGAUGUUAAUUCACUUUAAUUGGGAUUGAGUUGGGGAUACCUUCUCAAUGAUGUUUCAACCACCAUGACAGUAAAUUAAAAUCUAUUCCAUUGUUGUAGGGAAAAAUUGGCUUUUCGUAAAACUACAACCAUACAACUUUCCACCAGCCAUAUAUGCAUGUAGUGAUAGCAUUAUUCUGUUUCUGCUCUACUGUGUUAUAUUGCCAGCAUAUUCCAUGUGCUGACCCGUUUUCGGGCUGCAACGUAUUAUCUUGCAGACUUUUCAGACGAGGAGUAAGGUUCGUUAGGUCGUUGCCGUGCAGCUCAGCUAUGCCGUUGGAGUUGAUAGAUUCACCUUAUCUUCCAAGCCUUCCGCCGUUAUCGCAUUAGAUGGCCUUAAGCCAUAUUAUUGUAAUAAGUUCUCUUUGGAGACAUUCGAUGUAAUAGUGUGUGAUUGCUACUCUGUUAUAAAUCCUUCAAGUACUGUGUGUGUCAGCAUUACCGAUCCAGGGAUGACACUGAAGCACAGAGACUUGACCAUCUGAGGUCGGGUCGUUACAGAUAGAUAUGGUGUUUUCUGCAAAAAAUAUGUAACAUAGUGUUUUCUGCAAAUCUAGCCUUCAAAAUGGUGGUUUCAUGCAAUUUACUCCACACACGAGCCAGGCAUGCACGCAGCAGCAGGCAAACGCACGCAUGUGGAGCACACACAAACACGCAUGCAGAGCACGCGGUGAGCCGAUGAACCCGGAUGUCAGUUCCCUCGGGUGGCGACCUAGGCUACUCGCUGGAGAGCGGAGGUCGCCGUGCUCUUUCCGGCAGCGGCUGGGUAGGUGUGGUGGACUGUGGAGUGGAGUGGAGACAGGGAAAGAGGAAGGGGGAGAGAUAACUAGUGUCAGUGUCCUGGUGCGUGGGGCGCCUCCGUCUGUCGGCCAAGUCGUCACCGUUCACGUACACGCCAUGCGUCUACAGCCGGACCCUUUGUUUCCUCGAUACACUAUGUUUGUAGGCAUCAGAUUAGUAGUUUGAUAAAAAUAAAAAAAAUCUAAUUAGACCCAUUCCAUAAUACACCGGGUUUGCCUCUCGAUGGGAAGCCUCACAGCGGGCCUGCCUCCGGGCCCGGGUAGCCUGCUAGGGACCCGCGUGUCUUGAUUUUAGCUCAAGCUCGUCUUUUGAAUUAUUUGGCUAGCCUUGAGAUUUCGGUGGCCCAUACGAUGGUCAAUCUUGGCAAGAAACACUAACCAUCCAGAUUCAAUAUAAAAGCCUAUCUCAAACCUCCCCCUCCCCCGAAACCCUCGCCUCCACCAACCAUGCCUCCGCCGCCGCCGCCACCGAUACAAUCGCUACCGGACGAACUACUCGAGGAGAUCUUCUUUCACCUCCCGCCGAAUGAGCCCGCGUGCCUCGUGCGUGCCUCCGUCGCCAACAAGCGAUGGCUCGGUAUUCGCUCCUGCCAAGCCUUUCGUGGUUGCUAUCGUAAGUUCCAUGGAUCUCCUCCCAUGUUGGGGUUCAUUUAUUUUUGUCCCCUCGACUUUCUCCCGAGGAAAGCCCUCUCCCCGCGCUUCAUCUCCACCAUGGAAUUUGGUGUAGACAUUCCCGACAACCGUGGGGGUAACUAUAAAUACCCUGCGUGGGACUGCUGCCAUGGUCGCGUUCUCCUUCGGGAUAAUUGGGCGCCAACGCACCUUGUUGUUUGGGACCCCAUGACGGGUCGCCAAAGAAAGCUAAAAGUUCCCACGUCGAUGGGCUACGUCGGGAUAAUUUGUGCAGCGAGUGGUUGUGACCAUCACGCGUGUCAUGCAGGGCCCUUCCAAGUGGUAUUCUUGGGCCUUGACAUGACAGAUGAUGACAAUUGUGUUGCACACGCAUGUGUGUCCGCGCCGGUGACAAGUGACUGGAGCAAGUCAUGCUCUGAUGUUGAGUGGAGCGAUAUGUGCUCUAGUCUACAACUUGCACCUAAUGCAUCCAUCGACUCAAUGCCUCCAUCCUUGUUGAAAACGCACUUCACUUCAUGCUUACACACGAUGCUGAUGAUGGUGUAGAAAUUCUCAAAUAUGACUUGACCUCUAAUUGCUUAUCACUGAUUGAUGCCCCAUUGUCCAGGGCUAUCAUUAGCGGUUCCACUAUCCUCAUGGCGUUGGAGGAUGGUAGUUUGGGUUUUGCGCAUGUGGACAAGGUAACCCUCAACAUAUGGUCAAGAAAAUUGGAUGCUAAUGGAAUUGCGUCAUGGACUAUGCAUUGAGUCGUCGAACUCAUGAACCUUAUCCCUAUUCAAAAUCCAACCAAAAGGUUUAAACUGAUUGGAUCUGUGGAGGGCAGUGAUAUCAUUUUCAUAACUGCGGACCUUGGCAUCUAUGAGGUUAAUAUCUGGACACUACAAUGGAAGAAGCUAUGGAAGAGAGAGAAUUUCCGUUAUUUGGUUCCAUACAUGAGUUUCUGCAAUCCACCAGUUACAUCUAUAUGUCAUUUCUUUCUGGAUUUGGAACAAUUUUUAUAUAAAUACGUAUACAUUAGUUAAUGUAUAAUUAGAUUAAUGAUGAUCACAUAGAAAGUUAUAUAUUUCAUAUGUGCGCGAACAAACUUUCAGUAAUAUAUGUCAUUUGUGCUCGAUCAAACUUCAAGUAAUAUGGAUCCUCAAAUGUUACACCUAAUUAUGCUUACGUCUACUUAAUUGGAAAUUUUAUCGUAGCAUCCCUUUUUGGAAUCACACUGACACAAUUAUAUUUACAGAAUGGCUGAGACCUUGUGAUGUGGCGCAUUGACAAUGUUUGAUCAAAAAGUCUUAAAGGAAGGGGCCACUCUCGUCAACAAGAAAGAUAAUCAACUCAGAGGCACCAAAGGUCUUUUGAUGAAUCCUGUCACUAAUUAGCACCUGGUGUGGUGCAAUGGUUCUUGUUUUCUCGCACUAUUGUUCUUUUGCUAGUAAGCUUGACAAUUCCUAGUGUUGUUGGCAUGUGCUAGCGGGCGAAUGAAUUAUGUUGUAAUGAAUCUCAAUUUUCUCGCAACAUCAACUUUGUGCUUUGUGGUUUAAUUGCCUUCAAAUUUUAUUUGUAGCUAGUAUCUUAGUCUUUCCAUUUGAACUCUACAACUUGCACCCCUAGUUUUGAUCUAGUCUCUAAAUUGGUCUCCGAAAAGAUGUGGCAUUGAUGAGAAAAUGGUGAUGGCAUGUACAUGGCUAGUGGUUUCUAUGGCCCAAGACAUGAUAUGAUGAUGGUUUUGCAUGAUGGCUCGUUGACAUGUCUUAGUAAAUCUUUUGGAUAUAAGUAAAUGUUUUUGCGGUUUUAUUUGUUUAUCAAGCAAUGUUAUUGAAUAGUAUAACAUAUGAAGUAAAAUCUUGAGCCGGAAACUGAAGGUGGAUGGGAUAUGAGUUGCAUGCCCGCAUGAAGAUCUCAUAGAACUUUUUCUUUCUUCAGUUCCUCCACCAAUCUCUUUGGUGUUUGUUCGGUAAUUGUGCCAAUGCAGACACAAUUAAUAGGAGACUGUGACGUCCAUGAAGUGAGAUGGACAUGUGCAUAUGCUUGGUCACACAGUGGCGGAGCUAGCAGCAGGUCAUGCCUAAGGCUAUGCUAUGUUGAGUGAUGAUUUUCUAUGAUUUUAUAUUUUCUAUGAAGGAAUUAUAAGGAAAGUUGUUGCUAGGCCUCGGGCUAUAGCAAUAACUGCCCAGGCUUGUCUCCGGCACAGUGGUCACAUAUUUAAGGCUAUAGUGAUCACUGCAGUUGUUUUGGUUUUUAUCAUAUUCUAGAUUGAUUUUGUUAAGACAUUUUACUCAAAAUCACGAACACAUAUUUUUCUCUCUAUGUUUUUUGUACCUAUAUAUGGAAGAGGUGGGGCUCCUUGAUUUUUUUUUCAAUUUUCAAAUUUUUGAAUUAUUUGACAAUUUAAUCUCUAAUCACUGCUCAAGUGUGGAACACUCAUUCCAAAUCGUCUAACCUCUCGGCAGGUCGCCCAUCUCUCUCACUACUCCAGCCUGAGCACGCUUAACUUUCGAGUUCUAUUUCCCCUAGUUUCCAAGUCUGAAUUUGUUGUUUUCCUGACAAUAGUAAGCUGUUAAUUCUAUUAAUCCUUAGGAGUUUAGCUUGAGCAUUAAGUCACACGUUUCAUCGUUUGAGUUUGAAAAUAUUAUUGUAAAAAAAUUAUUAUUAUUAACACUAAUAUUUCUUGAGUAAGUAGUUUGACCAUAGUUUGACCAAAAUUGAAAAAUAAUUGAAAUUUGAGCAUAAUUUUUUUUUCUUUCAGAAUUUAGGAUUCUAAAAAUUUGCAAAACAGCCUACGGUGGUCGAAUUCGGAACCGGCUUUUCGUGUUGAAUAUUUUGAUAUAUUAUACGUUUUUUUCGACAUCGUAUGCAAAAGUUAUGGUCGUUUUAUUUUUUCAUAACACUUUUUUCAAAAUAUGUCGAAAUUUAUGUUUUAAAAUUUCCCUAACUAGUAGAUUAGUAAUAUAACUACAUCUCGAAGGAUUUUAAUUUUUGGAAUUUUUAUCAUUUUUUUGUUUUUUUUCAAAACUGAAAAGGAGAUACGGAAGAGGAAGGUAGAGUUUGCAAAUUACAAAACAUUUUUAGUCCGGGUUAAAGCUACCAACUGGAACUAAAGGCCUUUAGUCCCGGUUAGUGGCUCCAACCCGGACUAUAGGCCCCAUUCGGUCUGCAGGAAUUUUUAUAGGUCAGGUUUCCUUCAGAAAAAUAACCUGUGAUGCGUUCGAUUCGAAGGAAUGUCCUCACUCGUCCCGCAGCAAAGUUUACCCAGCCUGUACUUUUCACGGGAAAGAAAAAAUCUACUGCGACCCAAUGUUGGGGUGGAGGCCCGAUGCAAGCUGUCAGUUGGCCGUAUUAAAAAAUACUUGCAUGUGACUGUUUGGCGAGCGGCCAGGCAAGCUGCAUGUUCCGAUGAAUAAAAAAUUAUUUUCAUACAGUUGAAGACAAGUGCAUGCGUUGACUUUUAUUCUCUAGUUCCUUUGCUUUCCUAGUUCACACCGAACGCGGCAAAAUUUUGCAUCCCUCUAUUUCACGUUCCAAGGCUUACACAAGUGACGCAAAUUACAUUUCUGUAAAGUUUUCAAUUCAUUUGCUUUCUAUCCCUCCGCUCCGAAUGGAGUCUAAAGGUCUUACUGAAAUUUAGUCUAUUUUGGGACAGCACAAUAAUUAUUUCAAAAAUUCCUAAUAAAUUCUAAAGGCCCACGCAGCCCAUUCGUGCAAGGCAAAAGGUGGAACUAAACUUUAGUCUCAUAUUGUUAGUUUGGUGGGAGUUGGACCUCCUUAUGAGGAAGGAUAUUUUUCCACAUGUAUGAGCAUGAAAAUAAGAGAGACAUUCACGCGCGCUCCUCCUCCGCCGUCUGCCACGCCACGGGUUGCGGGAAUGAGCAAGCCGAUGACGAAGUUGAAAAGAUUUUGCUAUAGUGGAGACUGAAUGCGAACGACGCAUCCCUUCGGCUGCUAGUUGUUCACUUCACCUCCCGCGCUCCAUGCGACUACUAACUUCUUCAUCACGGAUGUUUCGGACUCUGACGACUUCUUCCCCGACGUCGACAACCUCAUCAAUGACAUGGCUGGCAGACUCCGACGACUUCUUCCCCGACGUCGACAACCUCAUCAAUGACAUGGCUGGCAAGGAUGUCGACCCCAAAUCCAGUGCUUCUGUUGUUGCUGAUGUCCCGUACGUGUUCUUGCUCUUUCUGUUAGAAGUCUCGCCACAGUUCUUUGCCCUAGUGUCGGCCCUACAUAAGUUAGGUUCUACUACAUAUAUGCAACUUGAUCUAGUGUCUGUUCUAGAUGUGUUCAGUUCAAGUUCAUAUAUGAAGAUGCUAUUUACCUUCUCUCUGUCAGAUUGCAUGACUUACUUUAUCUCUGCUAUAUUAGUCAUGCUUUAUCUAAUAUUUCUGUUAGUAAAGUUAUUUGGUAAAUUGCUCAUAUUUCCAACAGGUCUAACUUAUAGUCCGGUUUUGUGUUACAAACCGGGACUAAAGGGGCUCAUGGGGCUCCGGCCUGCCACCACCCCUUUAGUCCUGGUUUGUGACACAAACGGGACUAUAGGUCACAAAUGAACUGGGACUAACGUGUAGCCUUGAACUGGGAAUAAUGGUAUCAUUAAUUUGGUCCAUAAUUGAGCCGGGACUAAUGAGGUGAACAUUAGGUCGUUUUUCUACUAGUGAUUGUUCAUCGUUCAUGGCCAAAAUAAAUCUUAUUAAUGCACAUUCCUGGUUGAGUAUGUUGAAGAACCAGUUGCCACACCAGGUAAUUAAGAAUGUACUACUGAUGUAUAGCUACACUAUGGUCCUUCGUGUAUUGAGGCACUUUUACCACUAGACUCUAAUCUUGUCAUUAGGCUGGCCAUAGUGGGGGUAACAUAGGUAGUACUCCCUCCGGUCCUUUUUACUCUACAUAUUAGGUUUGUCUGAAGUCAAUCUCAUCCAACUUUGACCAAGUUCAUAUAAAAAAUUAUAGACAUUCACAUAACAACACCAAUAUCAUUAGAUUCAUCUUGGAACAUAUUUUCAUAUUAUAUUUAUUAGAUAUUAUAGAUGCUAAUAAUUUCUAAUAUAAAUUUGGUUAAAGUUAGCAAAGUUUGACUUUUGGCAAAUUCAAUGUGCAGAAUAAAAAGUACCGGAGGGACUAUCAUGUAUUUGGGACUCGCAAACAUACUUAUGUAACAGACAAUUAAAGAAGAGAGAUGGUUAUAGUAACAUAGGUAGAUACCGUAAUAUAAUAAAUAUGUGUUGACAAUAAAUACAGGAAAGAUGUGGCCGGACAUGAUCCAGAUGACGUCCCCUGGCACGACGCACCCUUGUCCUGCACCGACCACGCGCCGUCCCUCAGCAGCCAGCAGUCCCGCCCGGAGGGCGCAAGGCGGGCGGCGAGUGCGGCCGCGGUGGGUUUGCCAGCGCUGCUCCUCUCAGCGAGGCCGGCGACGAGGCCGGCGACGAGGGCGGCGCUGAAGGCCCCGUUCCCGCCUCCCGUGGCGAGUCCAACCACCAUGGCGACCAUCGCGGCAGCCUCCACCGCCAGCGGCAGGAGCUUCAAGAACAUGCUUUGUUUCUUGGGCUCCAGCUCGUUGGCUCCCCAGACACGGAGGCGGACGGCGGGGUCAGGCCCCACGGCCAGGUCGCGAGCGUGACGAACAACUCCCCCAUCGGGAGCUUCAGCCCCUUCAGGUCGAAGGCGUGGUCCUCGUCGUCGUCUUCACCUGCUCCUCGCCCUUGCGAGGCCACACCGGGGCCGGGAUGGCUCGGCGUCGCCGUCGUGCAGGCAGGGGCGGGCCCAGGAAUUCAAGACUGUGUAUUCAAAUUUUGUAUUUUUUUGAAAGUCUAUGGCCUUCCUUUCAGGCGUAUAAUCAAUUACAGAAGCAUAUUGUACUAGUUCUAAACUAUAUAAAAGAUACCACAUAAUAUAUUAUAUUCACAAAAAUUGAUCAUAACUUGGUAUUGUUCACCAUAUGGAAGUAAAAAACAUUGUUCAACAUAUCAUCGCAAAAUCUAAUAUAUAUAUAGGAUCGAUAAAAACUUACAAAUCACAGGAUAACUUUGCGAUCCUUGAUGCUUUGAAAAUGUGUGAUAAUGUCCUCAUCCUUAACUUGCAAGAAGAAAUCCCUUUCAAUGAAUGUGACCAAGCAACCACUCAAGUAUUUUUGCCCCAUCUUGCUUCUUAGCUUGUUUUUUAUAUAGUUCAUUGAUGAAAAGACCCUCUCAACACCGGCUGUUGCAACAGGAAGGACUAGCACCAAUUUGAGAAGUUUGUAAACAAUAUCAUACCGAAGAGCCCUCCCUGUUUUAACAAGUAUCAUAGACAACUCUGCUAGACUUCUCAAGUUUGUGAAGUUUUCAUCAUUCCUCACAUCAGUAAUAUAGAGAUUCAAUUGAAAAGGAAGUUGGUGCAUUUCUUCAAAGUCAAAAUCAUGAGGAUAGAACCCAGCAAGCUUAACCAAGUCAUCAAUAUUAAAAUAAGAAAAUGACUUGGCUGGACUGAAUGAUGCCAUGCAUCUAAGUAGCUCCGUGUUUACCUCAUCAAACCUGUUAUUAAGCUCUUGAAGUUGCCUAUCAAUGACACCCAACAACAUAUCAGCAUGGAACCGGUGGUAAUUCAUGGCAUUUUUAUAGAACGCUCUUGCUCUUUGUAUAGGCUUGUACUUCCCAUCCAUGUCAACACAUAUGACAUUGUGCUUCACAUAAAAAGAAGUGACAUUCUCAAGGAAGUCUUUCCAUCCAUCAUCUUCUCUUAGAACUUGCAGUUGUACCUUUGUGAACUCGAGAAGAUCAACUGCAUUCACAAUAUCUUGAUCCCUCUUUUGCAAAGCGUUACUUAAGUCACUUGUGUACCCAAAUAUUUCAUUCAUCAAGUGCAACAUGAAAACAAACUCAAAUGAUUUAAAUACUUCCAACAUAGUUUGAGCUCCUAAAGCCUCUGCUGAAUUACUUUCUUUCCCAAGCCUAAAGAGAACUUUCCUGAUUGAAGGAUACAAAGACAUAACAUGCAUUACCGUUUUGUAGUGAGAUCCCCCGGGCCUUGCUAGGCCCAUCUCUUGACUCAAACCUUGGCUAGCUUCAAUUUCACCUAGUUUCAAUGCUUCAAUCAUAUACUCAGCUUGAGCUACGCGAAGCAUGCGGAUCUUUUUACAUGACAUCCCAAGAACAUUCAACAAAUAUGCAAGGUGCCCAAAGAACCAUUUGCAAUCAAUAUUCUCCUUAGCAACAGCUACAAGGGUUAGUUGAAGCUGAUGGGCGAAGCAAUGAACAUAAUAAGCAGAAGGAGAAUCUUCCAUGAUUAGUUUCUUCAAACCAUUAACAUGACCCUUCAUGUUACUCGCACCGUCAUACCCUUGCCCACGUACCUUGGAUAUCGGCAGUUGAUACUUCAUAAGCAAGGUCUGAAUUGCUUCUUUAAGAGUCAAUGAUGUAGUAUCCUCAACUUGAGCAAGACCAAGAAACCUUUCAACCGGCUCCCCUAUUUUAUUGACAAAUCGCAAGCAAAGAGCUAACUGUUCUUGUUGGUAUGCAUCACUAGAUUCAUCAGCAAGAAUUGCGAAACACUCAUCACCAAGUUCCUCUAUGACAAAUUUUGUUGUUUCAUGAGCACAAGAACUAAUAAGCUGUUUUUGAAUCUUGUGAUCUAUCAUCUGACAAUUUUGUGGAGCAUUUCCUAAAACAACCUUAUUAACUUCUUCAAAGUUGCCUGCCAGCCAUUGCAAAAGUUCUCGGAAAUUUCCUUUAUUUUUAGAAUCCUUUCCCUCAUCAUGACCACUAAAAGCCAACCCCUGAUGCAAAAUAAAUUUUAUGCACUCAAGUGACCAUUUUAAUCGAGCUAGAUACUCAGCCUUGUACUGUGUGGUCCGUGAGGAAAUGGCCUCACGGAUUGAUGCUUUAGGUUUGAUGAACAAAUUAUAUUUCUCUUCGGCUUCACAAUGAGCACUAUUCACCUCACCAGCAUGCUUACGAAAUCUCGCUUUCAUAUUCCAAUUUCUGAACCCUCCAUUAACAAAACUAUCUCCAUCAGCAAAUUUAGUACUAUCUUUGAACAAAUAGCAAAAAAAGCAAUAUGCAGCAUCUUUAUCCACACUAUACUCAAGCCACUUAUACUCAUCAAACCAAGCCGGUUGGAAGUGACGCUUACCUCCGCAGUCAUGUUACGGAAAAUCUUUCUUCCGCACCUUUGGUUUACAUCGUCCCAAUGCAAUGUAGGCCCUUCUAACUGAAUCUCGUUCAUUAACAUCAUAGCUUGAGAUAGGAGUCCUCAACCCAGGAUCAGGCUCGAUGUUAUAAAUGUCAUCAUCACUAUCCUCAUCACUAGAAUCAGAUUCAUCUAGGGCCAUAGAUUCAUCAUCAUCUUCUGCUAUUGGGGCCUCUGUGUGAGGAGCUCUCUCAGGUUCAGGUGGUAUUGUGUGUGUCUCACUACCACUUUGCCCUUCAAAAAUUACCAAUUGCAUCUGACUUUCAUUGGAAGAUGGGGUAGCACUCGUUGGUUCAGGUUGUUUUCUUUUUGCAGCAACUCUUUUCAUGAAAGCUCUCAAAUCAGUAGUGCCAGUAUUCUUACUCUUCAUGUUUUACACCUGAAAAGUAAAGUUGCUCAAGUUUUAGAGUACUAAUCAUUAUCCAUAACGCUCACUGGAACAAAUUCAGAAUUUAUAAACGUUCUCUCAUUACAAACUCGAAUGGAAAAUUGUAAAUUCUCAUGUCUAAACAAUUCUUAAUUGACUGCAAACUAGUCUCUAAUUUCACUAUAUUAAAACAAGAAAGACAAGUGAUCAGUGGUCAAACUAACUUACUUAGUCUUGCACUUCUGUACUGCAGCCUACUGCCUGGACAAUAUGAGAGCAAAAGCGCUGCCUAGCUGCCUGAAUUCAGUUCGACACUGAUAAAUAAAUUCAGUUAGAACACGCGCAUGAGAGGAGAGAGCCCAAUUUCUGGGUCAAAUGAUUAGUACAUCUAAUUAGUGAUUAUACCUUCGAUAGUUGAAUUCGAGUUGUGGCUUUGAAAUUAGAUUGAUUCCUGCAAUCCUGCUACCCGCCACCUACAACAGAGAUUAGAAAGUUCAGAACCAAAAGGGGCAAGGGAUUAGGGAUUCAGGGAUGUAUUCGUCGGGCGUGUCCACGCUGCAGCCGCUGCCGCGCGUACCUGCAACCGAUCGCCGAUCAAGCGACGGCAGCUCUGGACCCUAGCCGCCGUGCGGUGCCGAUCAGGAGGCGGUUCGUUGCUUGGCCGCUUGGGUCGCGUGCGGCGAGUGGAGAACUCGAGAACAGGGGCGGCGCUGCCGGUUCGUGUGCCUGGCUCUGAUCGAUGGAAUUUUUUCUGUGCGAUGAUGGAUGUGUGCGAGUGACUUGGGCCAAUGGGCCAUGCCUGGUCGUGGUGAUGAGGAGAAAUAGACAAUGGGCUGCCUCACUUUUUGGGCUGAAAAGCUUAACUCGACGCUCUGGAUGUGUCGGUAUCGUUUUUCCUUAUACAACAUAGUAUAUAGACUAUAUAAUACCUAGUUUUUUCACAAAAAUAAUGGGUAUUCAACUGAAUACCCUUGAAUUGAGGUGGGCCCGCCCCUGGUUCCUGUGGUUGGCGGCCAUGGCGACGACGGAGGGGGGCGAUCGAGCGCGAGUUGGCGGUGGGUUGCUUCUGGUGGAUCUGAUACAUGUACACAAGAAGAUGGCAAGAAACAAAGACGCGGACCUAUUCCACGACCAUUCUUUUUUACUUACACACAAGGAAAGUUUUUUAUUUCCAUGUGUGAUUGUUGGGAGCACCUAUGGCUCAGGUGCUUGAAAAUUUUAUUCGUUUCAAUCACUUUUCAUCUGGACCGUUGAUUUACAUCCAACGAACAGCACAAAAGCUAUUUGUCAUGUCUUGAGUUUAUUGAAAACGCGGGACGACUAUAUCUCGCAUUAAGCGAGACAGUAGGAUGUUUCGCUGAAGUGUGUAUAGUAAUCAGGCUGAGCUAUUCCUUUUUUUUUUGCGGGUGUAUCGGGCUGAGCUAUUCGCGCACAGUUAACUUGGAAGAUGGCUAGAGCUACUAGCGACUGCGCCCGAGUGUUGUACUCCUUCCAUUCCUAAAUAUAAGUCUUUGUAGAGAUCUCAUUAGGUGGACUACAUACGGAGCAAAAUGAAUGAAUCUAUACUUAAAAUGCAUCUAUAUACAUUCGUAUGUGGUUCAUAGCGGAAUCUCUAUAAAGACUUAUAUUUAGGAACGGAGGGAGUACGUGAUAAGUACUAGGCGCAACUUACCUGAGGACAAUCGAGCUGGUUUUUCUGUUGGUUUGCUGGGGCUUUUUUUGUUUUUUGUUUUUUCUUUUUCACGGGUUUUCUUCCUUUUUUCUGUUUUACUGGGUUUUUUUAUUUUUCUUUGGUUUUCAUUAUUUCUAUUCAUGGUUCUCAUUGUUUUCUUUAUUUCUUUUUUCUUCAUUUUUACUUCGGUUUUGUUUGCCUUUUUCUUGUUUUUCAUUGGUUUUUCUUGUUUUCUCUCGGGUUUCACUGGUUUUCUUUACACAUGAUUGGUAUAUAUCUAAUACAAAUUUUUAGUAUACGUUUAAAAUUUUCAAAUUCUUGAUUAAUAUUUUCAAAUACCAAAUUAAAAUUUUUAAAUACAUGGUAGAAUUUUUUUUAUAUACACAUUUAACAUUUUCUAAAUUCUUUAUUUUUCAAAUACAAGUUUAACAUUUUUUUAAUACAUGGUUAAUAUUUUUUCUAUACCCAUUUAACAAAUCAUGACAAAAACUUGUACACAAUUUGCAUAGAAACGGCACUGUUUUUAUAAUAUGCAGAGAAAUAAGCAUCUAAUAGGGCAAUUUUUGCAUUCUAGUAAAAUUACAUGCACAAUAUAUACUAGUUGCGUGUAUAAAAUACAAAAAAUAAAAGAAAUAAAAUUUUAUAUCAAAAAUAAAUUAGUGACAUUGGUAUUGCCUUCACAGAAGAAGAAAAAUAAAAGAGAUCCUAAAACAUUUAUGAAAAAAAUCUGCAGACAAUUUGCACAAAAAAUACACUUUUCAUAAUAUACAAGAAUAAACAUAUGAUAGUGAAAAUUCUGCCUUUUAGUAUAAUUUAGACACAUAUUUACUCGCAAUUCCAGGAGUGUGGACACAUAUGCUACCAUGCUUCCUUGAGAUAGGGAGAGGAUGACUAAUCUGAACUACACAUACAAGUGUAACGAUGUAGAGUCUGUGAACAUGCUUCGAAUGAGAAGUACCCCUUUUCCAAGCUUGUGAAGACAUUUAGAGAGAGGCAGUUGAUAAAAGAUAGCAUCCCCACCUCUUUCAAAGAGCAAGUGACAAUGUUUCUUAAUGUUGUAAGUCAUAAUCAGAGAUUUAGAGUGAUUCACAACAUAUCUAGAAGAUCCAAUGAGACAAUAUCCUUGUAUUUCAAGCAAGUCAUGUAUGUGAAUGGAGAGUUGAGAGGAGAGAUAAUGAAGCAAUUUACUGGUCAAACUCCUCCGAAGGUAUGAACGAGCUAUAGAUGGUAUCCAUAUUUCAAGAUGAGCAGUACUAACUACUCCCUCCGGUUCUUUUUAGUUCGCAUAUAAGGUUUGACUGAAGUCAAGCUUCAUAAAGUUUGACCAACUUUGUAGAAAAAAGUGCCAACAUUCACAAUCUAAAAUCAAUACUACUAGAUGUGUCAUGACUUAAAGUUUUAUAUUAUAUAACUUUAGCAUGGCAGAUGUUGAUAUUUUUUCAUAUAAAUAUGGUCAAACUUUGUGAAGUUUGACUUCAGAGAAUUUCAGAGUAAAAAGGACCGGAGGGAGUAUUAGUUUAUGCCAUGACAUGAAUUUAUUGUUGUGAACAAUAACAGUUCAGUUUGUUCAUGCCUUCACAUGAUUGUAUUGAUGCAAUUGAUGGUACUCAUAUGCAAACCUGCCAAACGGGCCGAAUUUCGUUGGUCGGCAGUGGAACCAUCAAUAAUGUUCUCAUCAUCCCAACAUUACGAUGGCCUAGGUGACCAUGCCGUAUCUUGACUUACCAAGAAUCUAGAAAAUUAAUUUGUAUGCCAAACAUGUACCUAGUUUAACGCAUGUAUAGUACAAUACACAAUAUAGAGAAGCAUUUACUCUAAAUUUCCUUGAAAAACUCUUUUGCGGAGUUACGAGUAGGUUUUCAACCUCACUCAGUUUAUGAGUUUCAACAUGAAAACCAUUAUAAAUAUUCUUAAAAUUCAGUGAAGUAUGGGUAGAAUAUAGAUACAUCCAGCAAAGAUUACCACAUAGUACCCAUAGGGAGUGCAAUUGUUGCUUGACUAGAACCAACAAUUACUGCAUCAUGACCAAUAAUUGUCAUGACACUUACACUACUCAAUAGUCUGGAAAUACUGAAUCCCCCUUAGACCCAGUUUCCACUUAAGACAUUUCCUUCUCAGUUGGAUUAUUUUCAGAAAUUAUCUAUAGAGUAUAGUAUACAUAUAAACUCAUGUAGAAAUACACACUAUAUGUCACUAGAGAGUGAAGUCCACCAACAUGUCAUCGACACUAAGUAGUGGGUCUUUCUAUUUGCUAAGCGUGCUCCUGGCUGCCCACAUUCUGAGGAACGUCUUGAACCUCGAAUCCAUGAGAACACAACGGAUCCAUAGAGCACAAUAUGCCUCCAUUUAUUUCAGGUGUACAUAAACAUGUAUGCAUCCAGUGACGCCAAAGGAAAGAAGGUUUCAUAGAUGGCUUGACUCAGAAGUAACAAAUCCUUUCUCUCUCAAGCUCUCGAUAGUCUCCUUGAG
rnacentral:lncRNA from 1 species